rnacentral:lncRNA from 1 species
CCGGGCGCCGUAGAGGGCGUCUCUUCGGGCGCAGAAGCCGGUGCCGGAGAGGAUCGGGCCCCGGAGGCCGUCCAAACCUUUCCACCGCGUCUGCAGCCGGUCGAUCGGUCCAUGCAUGAACCAAGAUUUACUCAACGUACAUAUACUAGUUAAAACUGUAGGGAAGAUUGAUUGAUUCUUCUUACCCAGAAGAUGGACCUGAGCUCGUUGGCGUAGAUGUCGCUACUGCUGAGAUUGUGGAACAUCUGAGGGAACUGCACGAAGGCGAGGUCGGCGGGGCGGCGGCCGUCGAGGUGGAAGCACAUGGCCUCGAGGACGGAGCUCCUGCUGUUGCAGUACAUGUCGCAGUCCAGCACCAUCACGUACGGCGAGUUGCUCAUCAGGCUCGACACCCGGAGCUGCAUUGCACAUAUUGUAACAAGUAAAAGAUGAGAUCAACUCUAACAAGUAAGAUGAUCGAUGGCCGAACAGUAGGUGCUCACGAGGGCGUUGAGUGCGCCGGCUUUGAAGUGGUGAGCCGACGGCCUCCGCUUCUCGCGGGACACGUAGACCAGCAAGGGCAUGGCGUCCUCAUCCUCGUCCCCGGAGUCGAUGUUGCUGCCGUCGGUCAUCAUCUGACAUGCAUGGUGUGGGUAUUAGUGCGAUCUAUCGAUCAGCUGCGCACCGGCGGCUUCGAAAUGCAACGAGGGUAACGUUACCUCGAUGUGGGCGUCGUGAUCUGCUUUUAUCCAACUCUGAGAAAGAGCUGCGUCGUUCAUCACCUCCUCCACACCCUCGUUGAACGUCUCAUACAUGUUCUGCAAAGUUGGAAGAAAACAAAUGUCAGGGCGAUGCCGUCGGUGUCGCUACAGCCUUGGUUGCUCGGAUGGGCCGCACCCCGCCGAAUUAGCUGGACCAGCGCUCGAAUUCAGCUGGAAGCAAUUGUUGAUGCUUGGGCGAGGUGCCGCCGGCACCGCAGUGAGCCGAGAUGCCGCGAACCGCACGCCAAUAAGACCAUCUCCAACAAUUCGCAUAAAAAUCCACUUUACAGCACGUAACGCGCCGGCAUUCCAGCACACGAGUAAAAACUCAGCGCAUUCAACAUGCAUUUCUAAUCAUCAUAGGAUAUUUUAAACGAUACAUAGCAUAGUUGCAUAGAUAGCCUAAAUAAAUAGAAAAGGGUAAAAACCGAUAAAAAAACUAUAUAACAUAUCAUAGAUAAAAAAUCGAUAAAAAACUAUUCCUCAUCAUCGUUGUCGGACUCCGACGCGCCGGUGUCCGAUUCCUCCGUUAUGAUGAAAGCGUCAGUCCAGCGUUCAUCAUUAAAGGACUAAAUCGACGAUUCCUUAGUUCCAUCUGAAAGAGUACGGCUUGCUUCCGAGUACGCCUAUCUUCACGAUAGGUGGCUUGCUUCGCCCUCCUCUCCGCCCUCCUUUGCACGAAGAUUCGCGCUCGUCGAGGACGUCCGGCGAAAACUGUCGGCGCCACUACCCAUGGCAUGCUCGUCCAUCUCAGCAAUGCUAAGGCGGCGCUCACGUCUCCGGUUCCGGCGACGGUACUCGUCUGUGACAACCCGUGGACGAGGCGCGAGGUUCUGCACCCACUCCGUCAUCAUCACCUCGGGGAAAUUCAUCUUCCGACGAGGCCUGUUGAGGCGCCACGCCCCCGCGUCAUAUGCGCGGGCGGCCUUGUGGACGGUCUCGAACGUGCCGAGGCCGAGGCGCAUGUCGCCGGAUCGGAUCUCGAUGUACAAGGUGCCUAAGGGGUGUGCGCGGACGCCGCGAUAGCCCGAAGUUCCCCCGCGGCGCGGCGACAUGGUGGCGCGGCGGCGGCAAGGCGAGAAAAGAGGCAGAGGGACGUGUGGCGAGGCGAGGGGGCGACAGUUUCGAUGGAAGGGUGCGUGGCGGACGCUUCAUUUUAUAGGCGCGUUGGACGCCGCACCCCAAAUCCAGCGUGCAUCCGCCCGCUUUUUCCCAUACACGCAACCAUUUUCCACGCGCCUGACCGUCUACGCUGAAGCACGACACCGUCCCGCGUGCGUUAAAAUAGUGUUUUACGUACACGCGUUCUUUAACGCCGCUGUUAGAUGCUCUAACCUACAACCUGCGAGGCAUUUUGCUGGAAUCGAGCGAGCCAAUUUUGCUGAGAUUUUUUGUUGCAACCGGCAUGCAUUUUUUGCUACGACCAGGUGACAUUUUUGCUGCGUCAAACAACCAAGGUGACGUAUAUCGCAAGCUCGGGUGUCGCGGAAUACGGUAUUUAUUUGAUACUUGUUGCUUCAAACUGCCUGAGCUUCACACAUACAAGCAACCAAGCAGCUACGCAACAGGCCAGUCCGUUUAAACAUUCCAAUGCCCCCGGUUUGGGGAACCAUUCCCAACCGGUUUUGUCUGGUUUUAGUACACUUUUAGAAAGUUUCUUGAACCAGUUUUUUCUAUGUUCUUGUUUUUUUUCUUUUUUUCUCUUUUUUCUAUUCUCCCAUUUUUUUCUUUUUAUGUUUCAUGUUUUAAAAAUCUUUGCAAUUUCAAGAUGUGCUUGUUAUUAAAAGAAUAUUCAGGAAUUUAAAAUUGUUCAUGGUUUCUUUAUGUUUGUCAAACAAUAUUUGAGAACUAUAAAUUUUGGUCAAUUUUUUAAAACAUGUCUUUGUUUUACAAAUUAGGAACCUCAAAAUUGUUCGUAAGUUCCAAGAAAUAUUAGAAUAAAAAUAAAUGUUUGAGAUCUGCCUCUACUGUGUGUUUUUGAAUAUUUGUGCUAACCAAUGAUUAACUGCCGGCGGCAGCUCCAGUAGCUAGCUGCAUGUGGUUUGAUGUGCGAGGGUGUGUGUUCGAGUCCUUCCAGUGUCGGCCCAGUAGUGGACCCUCUGUUCGACACGCGUUCCAUUUACCGGAAAACCCGGCAUAUAGGAGCUCCCGGGUGUCGCCACCAACGGUAGGUGCACGAUGAUGUGUGGGCAGUGGGCCGGUCCAAUUAGCGCAUCCUUGUUCGCUCCCGAUCAAGGAAAAAAGGUUAGCACCUUUUGCUCUAUAAGAAAGGUGAUUGGGAAAAGCCCAGCAACGUCUGGCUAAAAAAAUCUAUGUUAGUUAAAGAAAUGUAGAUUUUACAAAAUAUUCACAAACUUAAUUUUUCCUAAUUUUCUUUAAAAUGAUCAAGAACUUAAAAAAUGCUCAUGAUUUUUCUAAACAUGUUCACGAAUUUAAGUUAAAAAGAGGAAACACAAAUGAUAUAAAAAAGGAAAUUUAAAAGGAGAAUACCAACAAAAGUUGGUAAAGAGAAAUGAAAAUACGAAAUGAAACAUCAGGUUGAGCAACGAAUGAUGGUCACGAUGGAGCAUACCCUAGGAUGGCUGGUGGGGUAUGCCAGUGCAGUGGUGGAGCUAGCAGAGAAUGGAUAGGGGACAGGACAGGAAAUAUGAUUAAUUGGGGGGGCUAAUUACAAUUUUUUUCUUCAAUCUUAGCCCUUGGAAAAAAAAUCUUCAAUGUUUUCUCUAAUCUUGAGGGGCGCCCCCCCCCCACCCCCAAGUGCACAUAGCUCCAUAGCUCCGCCGUUGUGCCAGUGUCCCAUUUUUGGGCUAACCGAGUUUACAUGAUUUUUGAAGGAUUCUCACAAUUUAUUUUCUGAUAUGUAGCGUUUGUUUCACCGGAAUAAAGAGACGACGGUUCCCUAGGAUUGUGUCAGAUUUGAUUCCAUUAGAUUUAUGUCUCGACCACUUGUCACAGACUUGGCUAUUCUACGGAAUCCCACCUGCCUAUCUAUGCUUAUGUUAUGUACCAUUGUCGAGCCAUAUGGUGAUGGUCUAUCUAUGCUUUUGUUAUGUACCAUUGUCGAGCCAUAUGGUGAUGGUCCUGCUAGAUGCCUAUGUUGUGAUUUGUAUUCCUUUGAUUAUUGACUUUGAGACAUGAAACACCGUGUGAAUAACAUGCCCAACACGACUAGUGACGUAACUAGCGGGGGUGUGUCGAGGUGUGCCUUGCACACUCAGAAUUUUUUCCCUCCCUCGAAGUGCACAUAGAUCCGCCAUUGUGCCAGUGUCCCAUUUCCGGGCUAAUUGGGUUUAUAUGAUUUUUGAAGGAUUCUCACAAUUAUUUUUCUCAUGUGCAGCGUUUGUUUCAUGGGAAUAAAAGAUGAGGAUUCCUUAGGAUUGUGUUUGAUUUGGUUCCAUCAGGUUUAUGCCUCGACCACUUGUCACAGACUUGGCUAUUCUAUGGAAUCCCACGUGCCUAUCUAUGCUUUUUAUGUACCAUUGUCAAUCCAUAUGGUGAUGGUCCUGCUAGAUGCCUAUGUUGUCAUUUAUAUUACCCUGAUUGUUGACUUUGAGAAACNAUUACUGCUGCGAGUUUGUAAUACUACCGUGUAGACGCGGAGCACGGCAGGUUAUUUUCAAAGUUUAGUCUGCUGACCGUGGACAAAUGCAGCACUCACUCAGCCAUCAGUGAACCGUCUGUGACGUCGACAAGUACUAUGCUUUGCUGAAGUUGUACACCCAAACAAAAGCCGUCGUAAACAUGAUCUGUUAAUGGAUCACUCUACAUAUAUAGGAGUAUACGCAAUUCUUACUGCUGCUGAAUCAAUCAUAUACGCACCUUGAUCCUCAGCAUGUCGUCGUCGAGCUCUUGGCGGUGGUGACCGCCGAGGUCGAGCUGGUCGUCGCCGGCGAAGAACCUGUCGGGGCACGGGCACCGCACGCCGUACUUCCUGCAGAAGGGCACCCAGGCCCUGGCGAAGGCGUAGGCCUUCCUGGCAGCGAGCAGGGUCCGCGGCGACCCGGCGUCGUCGGAGAGGUACACGCUGAGCCGCCCGCCCGGGUAGUCGAGCGCCAUGGCGGAGACCACCGUGCUCAUCACCUUCGCCGCGGGCUCCUUGUCCGGGUCGGCCGUCACCACCAUCACGUCCACGGCCGGGAGGGCGGCGCGCGAGAGCCGGGACGGGAAGGCGGCGCGGGAGACGGGACGCCACAUGGGCGCCUGCGACAGCGCCCACAGGAAGAGGAGCGCCAGGUCGGCCGCCAGCAUCACGUGGGCGCCGCGGUGGGCGAUGGCCGCGGCGGCGAGCGCCACGUGGAGGGCGGCGAGGAGGCGGUUGACGGUGGCGAGGGGCUGGUCCGUUUGCACGGUGUUGAGCUGGAGCGGCGCGUCCUGCGACGGCGCCGCCAUUAUUCCCGUUUCGCGUUGGAUAGCAGAGCAGGAAGCUCAGAGAAGAAAAGGGGAAUCUUGUGCCGCCGGUCUCCAAGACCAGUCGGCAGUCACAGUGUCAAACCGCAGAAGGAAAUGGCGUACCCAAGUUGCUCUCCUUGACUUUAUUUAUACAGCUCCUGCGCAAGCACGUGGGAAAUAAUCUCGAUGCAUGUUUAAUUUUUGAAUUUUUUUUUUGCACCAAUGCAGAUGUAUUUUAGUAAUUGUUUAUAUAUAUCACUGCUCCGCUCUAAUUAAUAAACGAGACAAAAUACAUUAAUUAUACAGUGGAGAUGAGGUUAUCAUGAAAACUAUGUGAAAACCAUGUUUGAAAACGAGAAACAACAUGGGUAUGUUUGGUUCCCAGCCACACUUUGCCAAUCAAAAUUUAUCAGCCACAGUUUAGUUGGCAUAUGUUUGGUUUUUGCCAUACUUUGGCUUGCCACACUUUAUUGUCCUUAUGACCCAUUUGUUAUGGAGUCAAAUUUUUUGCCAACAUUUGCUAAAAUUUGGCAUUCGUUUUUUCAGCCACACUCUGUGGCUUGCCACACUUUGAUGGCUUGCCCACUUUGGCUUGGUAAAAUUAGUCUUCAACCAAACAGACCCUAUAUCUCUCCCUAAUAAUAAAGCACCUAUUAUUUCUGUCGUCCGUCAUUAAAAUUACCUCUAAACUUGAUAAAAAUUACCCACCAAUGUCAUCUGUAAUUAUAAAACCUGUUCAUUUUUUGGAUUUUAAAAAUCGCCACCCUGUGUUAUGUUUUUAAAGGACUGAUAUUUUGAAAGACCAGUAAUAGAAGAGUAGCGUGAUGGUCACAGCUGCAAGCCUAGACCUUAGAUAGCAGGGUUCGAUCCUUUGUUCUCACCACUUUUUCUCUACUUUCUAUUAUUUUUUCUUUACUUUUUUAUUCCUGUUUUGGUUUUUUCUUCUCUAAAUUAUUUCCAAAUUUCAUAAUAACAAAAUUUUUAAAAUUUGUCAGUUUGAAAAAUAUAGAGAAAUGAUAAACUGUUUGUGUAUUUACAAAAUAUUCGACAAGUCAUAAAAUGUUGAUGAGUUCAAAAAUUGCUCACAUAUAAUAAAACAAAUCACGAUUUCAAAUAAAUUGUCAUGAAAUAAAAAAUGUUUGUGAUUUUUUAAAAUGAUCCGAUAUUCAAAGCACAUUUUAUGACCUUUUUCCACUCUUAUGCAUGAGCCGGCCCAUGUGCAGAUCAAGGCAACCUGUUUAGUAUUUUUUUUCUUUACUUUCUUAUUCCUGUUUUGGUUUUUUCUUCUCUAAAUUAAUUACAAAUUUCAAAAGAACAAAAAAAAGUUAGCCAAUUUGAAAAAAGUAGGAAAAUGAUAAACUGUUUGUGUAUUUAAAAAAUAUUCGGCAAUUCAUAAAAUGUUCAUGAGUUCAAAAAUUGCUCACAAAUUAUAAAACAAAUCACGAUUUCAAAUAAAUUGUCAUGAAAUAAAAAAAGUUCAUGAUUUUUUAAAAUGAUCCGAUAUUCAAAGCAUAUUCAGGAAUUUGGAAAACAUGUAUAUCAACUUUUAGAAAAUGUUUGUAAAAAUUAAAACACAUUUGUUAAUAAUGAACAUAACUAACCGUCACUUACAUAAAGGUUUUAUUUGGAAACCUGUAGAGGUCGUUUUCUGAUUUUAUUUAGUCCCUCACGUCGGAUAAAAAAGGUUUCCGUGUUUUGCAGUUUGCUCAGCCAUAAAAUAUUUUUUUCUAACGCCUUAAAAAAUCAAGCCGCGAUGAGCAUCAUAUUUUUAGUUUGUGGAAUUACAUUUUAAAAGUGCCUUAUCUCAUCAUGACAUCACUCAGAUAUACUUUGUGAAAUAAGAUUUCAAAAAUCUUUAUGCCAUUAUUGCAUUAGAUUCAUACCUUUUUAUAUCUAUCACACCUGCAUAACCUGAUAGUUUUUCUUCCGUUACAACGCACGGACAUUUUUGCUAGUCCUUACAAAAGAAGAAACGAGGUGAUAUAUACACACAUAGAAUGGUGGCUUGACCAACCUGACUUUAAAGAGCUAGUUCGUAAAACCCGGACUAGUACAACAUGUUUGGGUAAGGCUAUCGAUAACUGGAUGAAUAAGACUAGGAUUUUAUGGAAAAAGAUUAAAGGCUGGAGUAUCAAUUUAGAGGCUGCUAUGAAAAAGAAGAAAAAAGUUCUUUUACAAGAAUUUGACAUCCUUGAUGUGUUUUCGAAAACCAAUCGUUUAAACGCUAAUGAUAAGAAUCGUAUGGAGGAGAUUAAGAAAGAAUGAGAGGAAAUCUGGAGGGAAGAAGAAACUGCCUUGUUGCAGUGAUCCAGAGAUAGGAGAAUCAAAGGUGGUGACAAGAAUAAUAAAUACUUCCACACGUUAGCUAACCAUCGUCAUAGGAAGAACCACUUAUAUGAAUUGAAUGGUGAUGAUGGUCCAGUUCACUCUGGAAAUUGCCACUUCUUUCUAUAAAAACAUAUUUGGUUAUGAGCAUAAACAUAAUAUUAGCUUGGGUCAUUCCUUUUGGAAGGAAGAAGAGAUGGUUACUCCUAAGGAAAAUGAGACUUUACAAAAAACAUUAUCUGAGGAUGAAAUUAAAAGGCCAUAUUCACAUCCUAUGCACAUGGUGCUCCAGGGCCUGAUGGACUUUCUUUUUGUUCUAUCAAUCCUUUUGGGAGGUGAUUGAAGCUGACUUUAUGGCUUUAGUGAAAGAUUUUGAAGAAGGGAAGCUCGACAUCUAUAAGUUGAACUUUGCCCUAAUUUUAAUUCCUAAAGAAGUAGAUGCCAAGGAUAUGAAGAAGUUCAGACCUAUUAGCCUUGGAAAUUGUGCAGUUAAGAUUCUGACUAAAGCAAUGACUACUAGAAUGUCCCCUAUUGGGGAUAGAAUAAUUUCUCCCAAUCAAACUGCUUUCAUCAAAGGAAGAUUUAUUCCUGAGAAUGUGGUGCUGGCUCAUGAAGUGAUUCAUGAAGUCAAACAGUCCAAAACUCAGGGGCUUGUGCUCAAAUUAGACUACGAGAAAGCUUAUGAUAGAGUUAGCUCGGAGUUUCUUUUUGAGAUGCUAGAGUCUAGGGGAUUUGGGGCCAAAUGGAUCUCCUAGAUCAAAAGUGUUCUACUAAGGUGUACGUUUAGUGUCUGUAUUAAUGAUGUGACUGGCCCCUGCUUUGUUGGUGGCAAAGGCAUUUCGGGGCUUCUACCUCAUGUAAUAAAAGGAGGGAUCACCAGCUUGCAAUAUGUUGAUGAUACUCUGCUUUUCCUAGAAAAUUCUUGUGAAAAAGCAAGAAACUUUAAAUGGAUCCUAUCUUGCUUUGAAAACCUCUCUGGGAUGAAAAUCAAUUUUCAUAAGAGUGAUCUUUUGACUAUCAACAUUGAGGAUGAGAUGACUAAAUCUUUUGCCCAAAUUUUUAGUUGUAAGGUUGGGACUUUCCCUAUUAAAUACUUGGGUGUGCCUUUGCACUAUGACAAACUGCGUAGGGAAGACCUUCAACCAAUAAUUGACAGGAUCAUCAGAUGUAUUUCUGGUUGGUUAGGUAGACAUCUUACUUAUAAAGGGGAGUUGAUACUUCUUUGUGCGUGCAUCGUCAGUAUCCCUGCUUAUCUUAUGGCGGUGAUCAAGUUCCCCAAAUGGGCUAUUGAGGCUAUUAAUUCACAAAUGGCUCAUUUUUCCUGGGGGAAUAUAGGGGAGCAACGCAAAUAUCACCUGACUAAUUGGGGACUGAUUACCAGGAAGAAAUCCUUUGGGGGUCUAGGUAUACCCAACCUGAAGGAAUUUAAUAUGGCCUUAUUGGCCUCAUGGGGGAAGACGUUUUUUAUAAUCAAAAAAAGAUUGAAAAGAUGUUAUUUCUUUCAAGUAUAACACUGAAUCUCCCAAUAUACUUUGGUAUAAAUCUGACAAUGGAUCUUCUUUUUGAAAGAGUGUAACAUGGGCUCUAAAUGCCUCCAAGAUUUUCUACAGGUGGAAAAUUGGUAAUGGUAGAAAUGUCAAGUUUUGGCAUGAUUUAUGGGUUGGAGAUUGUUCCCUGAAGGUGCAAUUCUGGAAGUUAUUCUACAUCUGCAACCAACCUGACUGCAUUGUCUCUCAGGUUUGGGAUGGUGUAGAUCUUAAGCUCUCCUUUAGGAGGUGUGUAGAUAGUAGGGGGCCUGAUAAAUGGAACCAAUUACUUGAUAUUAUUUAGGGCAUUCCAUUAUCUGCUGCCCCUGAUGUCCACAUAUGGAUGUUGGAAUCCAAUGGAGUGUACUCUGAUAAGUCCUUUUAUAGUACUAUUAACUUUGGUGGGGUGGCUCUUCCAUAGGUGACAAGCUGUGGAAAAUUCUUUGUUCACAAAAUAUCCAUGUUUUUCUUUGGCUAAGUGUUUAUAAUAAAGUCUUAACGAGAGAUAACUUAGCUAAGCGAAGGAAUGUUGAUGACCCUUCUUGCUUAUUUUGUAAUGAAUUGGAAUAUGUACAACAUCUGUUUUUUGAUCGCAUAGUGGCUAAAUGCAUCUGGAAACUUUUUGCUAAGUUCUUUCAGAUGCCAGUUAUGUCCUUCUUUAAAGAUAUUUGUGCCUUGUGGCUGAUUCAUAAGAAAGUGCCAGUCCAGAAUAUGAUUGUUGUUGCCCCCUUGUGGAGUACUUGGAGACUAAGAAAUGAAUUUUGUUUCCAUGGUCGAUCUUGGAAAGGUGUGGAUUGCGUGCUUGUGAAACAUCGAAGUUUUCUUCGGCAAUGGGCUGUACUCUGCGACGCCACACAAGAGGGAGUGCUGCGACAAUUCUUCACUAAGUUUCACAAAUACUGAGGGGAGCUUUUGCGCAUCGCUUGGAGGAGUCUACAAAACUGAGCUUGGAGGAGUCUGCAACCGUGAGUAUCAUUUACCUUCUCGCAUGUAGUUUGCUAUGACUUUUUCUGUGGUUGGAGUGUCGUAAACUUUUGGUUUCUCCUGUAAUUUUUAUGUCAUUCUAGAGGAUGAUAUGUCUGUACCUGGCUUGACUUUGCUUCAUUAAUAAAGUGGAGCAGGGGGAACCCUUUUUAUUACAAAAAAAAAAAAACGCGCACAACCGCGUUUCUAGCGGCAACAACUUAGGAGCGUGCAAACCAAUCCACUGUUGAAUGGUUACAAGGACUGUAGUAUUCCUGUCUAUUAGAGUUUAAAUUUCAGAUUUAACAUUGGUGUUUGUAUUUUUUGAAUUUAUUUUAGAUAUUUCAGCGAUGUGCGUUUAAUGGAAGAAGACGUUUUCAUCGACUACAAAGACGUCUGUGGCGACUUCAUCAAUUUCAAAAUGAUGUGCCGGUCCAGUCUUUCAAAGAUGUUUAUUGGGGUAUAUUGUGCGUGCAUAUGUUUAUAGGGUAAGUCCACUCCAGGAGCCGGUGGAGUUUUAGUUUGUAUUUGCGGAGCGUUACUUUACCGGCUCCGCAGCUCUGCGGAGCUGGUGGGAUUCUGAACGGACCAUAAGUAUAUGUAUAUGACGACUUCGAUUGUACUGAAAGCGUGCUGGUCAAUUAUUUGGUUAGACUUUUUUUUUCAUAGCAAUAAAUCCAAUUCUCUAUGUAAGCAAAAAUCAGGCGACGAGACCAUAUAGGAACGAGUGAAAUGUAAAAAGAACACCACAAUAGAGUUUUCAUUAGCGGAAAACCAACACUAUGCAAACCGUGACAAAAUUCAACGUGUUAAAAAAUGACAGUGCAAAAACAUUAACAAGAACUUGAUCUAAUUUUGACGCAAUAAACCAUCCACGUGCCGAUAGUGGCUAUGGCACGCGGCUAAUGGCCCUUAGCGCCAUGAGAAACUGUUACGCUGGAGAAAGUAGAACCAAGAAUUAAUUGCUUGUUGUCUCAAAAAACAAGAAUUAAUUGCUUUACUUUGAAAGGAGGAUAACCCGGCCUGUGCAUGUGCAUGCAUUCAUUUUAUAAAUUAUUCAUAAAAAUCAUACAAAGUAAACAUGAGCAAGUCUUGAAGCCAUUUUCUUGACAACAUGUGCCAUUACUCGUAUCUACUACUUGGUAAAGGGGUGUCGAAAGUCCGUGUCGAAUAUCAAACACACCUCACGUCAAAGCCUACCAUCUUAAACCGGAGGACCUAACCAAGUCGCAUUGCCGGUCUCGGGCACACAUUGGUCUGACGCACUCUUAGUGGUUAUCGCACGCUCACGCUGUAGAGGCAACCACAACCGUCUUCCACUAAUCUAUCUUCAGAGUAGGCACUCGUGCAUCAACCUAGCCAAGCCUAACUGUCGUUGACGCCAACACGACGCCACACAACGUCAUCAUCCUGCGCUCGCCAAUCAACACAUGUUCACCACCGAGACCGCAUUGCAUCAUGCUAUUGAGACCCGUCGUCGAUGACGCGGUAGAAAUCACGCCACUCCACCGCCUAUCUACUCGAGUCUAUAACUGCUCCAAAACGAUGCCACCCGCAAGGAGCACGGCGCUAGAUGUUGCUUUCGUCCGAUCCGGGAUACAUGUCUAGGGUUUCCCCUCGAGCAGGUCAAAAGGAGCGAUGUAACUUGGUAUGCCGAUGACUUCGACAAGGUAACACCGCUUAAAGACGUUGUCAUCGUCCGCCAUGACCGUAGUCGAGGCUCGGUCUUCGUCGCUAGUCUUGCCACUCCAAACUCUUCAAACUCAUUACCGAUCAGAUCUAAAGACAAAUCUGUUGUUGUCUCUUGGCUGGCCAUCACAAACGCGCAAGCGCGCAGCAGGAGGCGACUGCCGUCGCAACACCGUCGGACGGGCUCAGCCCGAUCUGGAUGCGCGACUGAGGGCCCUAGAUCGGCGAAGAAUCUCCCCAUCCAAGUCACUGAUCAGGGCCCCCCUGGGACACACCGGCCCCACAACGCCUACAAUGCCAGGUCCUUCAUAUCGUCGUGCGCGGUCCAACCCACAGCGAUGGCCGUCGUCGUUCGCAACUCCUUCGCAGCGCCGAGCGCCUGCACGCCUACGCGACCACAUGGGAAACUAGAUGACCCGCCACAACCUUCCUCAUGGCCAGGACGACCUUGGCCACGGAGUCCCUUCCGACGAUGGAGAGACUAGCAGGGACACGAUAGUAAUUUCACGGACAAUUUCUUCUAGUACUAGAAAGGGACUUGACAACUCGCUCUCCCGCUAGGGUUCCUGUCCCGCCCCCGUCCUCCUCACGUCGUCGUUGGCCUCCCUAGGGCCUCCCUGCCGCCGCCGGUCGGCCAACGCGGAUCCACCCUUGCGUCGCCUCCGUGGGAGGUGGCUGAGGCGACGUGCGCCCCCACCCCUUCGGCCGCCCCUUACCCCCUUUCCUCCCGUUGCCGCCGGCGGACGCCCCCGACACAUGCCCGGGUGGUGUUGGCGGCGGAGGGACCUUCUUUCCCCAUGCAUGAACCUCUCCUGCCCAGGGCAUGGAGCGGCGGCGGUGUUCCUCGGCUAGGUGGCGGCCUGGCUACCCGGCGACAGCGACCGGCUGCGCGCGUGGUGGUGGCAUCACCCCUUGGCGGCAGGACAUCGUGGUGGCGAGGGAUAGCCGGUGGCACGCCCCCGACCUAGAUCUGGGCCCUGUGGGUCCCAUCUGGGUCUUAGCGGGUCGGCCUCCGACGUGGCUUUGUCAUCGUCCGUGUGGUGAGGAGGAGGAGCAUCUCAGACGGGUGGCAGCGAUGUUGACGGCGUGCCUACUGUAGCGUGAUGACGGGAGCUUUACGGGCGUGGAGGGCCUCACCGGGCCUGUGAGCCCACGGACCUCGUAUGCGCCUGCUAUUGUGUCCGGUUGGCUACCGUCGCUGACGGUGUGGAGGUUGUGCCCUCCCGCGUGCCGAUGGUGCUGAUGCCCUAGUCCCGGCUCCUAUUCAGCACUGUGCAGGCCUCACUUUGCAGUGUCGUGGUGAGACAGCGUGGACGCUUGAAGACCGCGUUGGCGCAGGAUGGUGGUCGGUUUGGUGGCACGCUCCAUCGCAUCCGAGGUGAACGUUGGGAUCGGAGGAAACCCUUGUCGGCCUAGCCGACACCGAUGUGGUGGCGCAUGUGGGUGCUGCCAGACCUUCCUGGAGGGCGUCGGGGGCUACCCUUCUUCUCGUCGUGUCGUGUACCGAGGGAAACCUUUGGCUGCAGCGUCGUCAUCAUCACUGUCCUUCUUGGAGAUGUUGAUUGGCAUCGGCGCUUCGGAGCCUUGGAGCUUGGUGGGAGAUCUUUGGUGGGUGCAGUGGUCGUGAAGCUUCUUCGUUUCUGUCGAUCCGCUGUUGUCGGUAUUGAUACGUCCCAAACGUAUCUAUAAUUUUUGCUUGUUCCUUGAUCUUUUGGGUGACACUGUUAUAUGUUUUUCUACACUUUUAUAUCAUUUAACACAUACUUGGACUAACCUACUAACUCAGUGCACCCAAUGCCAGUUUCUGUGUGCUGAUGUCUAUUUUGCAGGGGCUUUUACCCAAUUUUCCGAAGCCCAAAAAAUUCCAAAAAUAUAUAAAAAAAUCAGCGGAACAGAAGCUUCUAGAUCACCGAAGAUGGGCUAGAGGGGGGCCAGGGGCCUCCCAGUCGGCCUGCUGGCGCGGCCAGGCCCUAGGCCGCGCUAGGAGGUCGGCUGGUUGGGUCCCACCUCCUCCAGUCCCUCCUUUGGCUUAUAUUUAGAGUCUCGAUAGGAAACCCUGAUAUAACUUCUGGAAUCGCGAAUUUCUCCAUCGUUCUGCUGCCGCAGCACUUCCGAGAUCGGGAGCGUCAGGAGACCUCUUCCCGGCACCCUGUCGGAGGGAGGAUUGACCUCCGGGAGCUUCUCCACCGCCAUGGACGCUUCCCAGACAUGCCGUGAGUAGUCCUCCUUGGACCAUGAGUCCAUGACCAAUAGCUAUGUGAUGUCUUCUCUCCAAUCUUGUGCUUCAAUCGUUAGUCCUUGUGAGCUGCCCUACAUGAUCAAGGCAUCUAUGUAAUUCUCUUGCUAUUGCUAUGCUCGGUUUGUUGGGACCCGAUGGAAUAUGAGAUUAUGUUCAGAUUGUUAUGAGUUAUGUAUUUGAUUAUCCUUUUACAUUAUAUUCCUUAGUGAUUCAUGCAUGUUCUCCAUUGCUAUUUAUUGCUUUGGCCAAGUAGUAGAUUGUAACUUCAAGAGGGAGCGUUAUGCAUGAUUGUGGGUUCAUGCCCUCGAUGUCUAGCUUGAGUGACAGAAACAUGAGACUAGGGGAUGUGCUUGUUGCCACCAGGGAAAAACAAUGGUGCUUGUGACCACGGUUGAAAGGAUUGUUUACCUUACGCAUAGUUCGUUAAUGCACUUGUCCAUUGUUUUGAUUUUACACUUUGGGUGGGGCUCGCAAGUUAAUACCGGCGAGAUGUUCUGGAUAGAUAUCUCAAGGUGGAUGAUUAGUAAGUAGAUGUUGAUGAAUAAAUGGUGUACUUGUCUUGGCGUACUGCCCAUUACUAUUGAACCUCUAAUAAUCAAGUAGUAUAAUUAGCAUUGCGGUGCGAUCAUAAUUCUGUCAAUUGCCCAACUGUGAUUUGUUUACCCAAGCAUAGUUGUUUAUCGUCUUUUGGGAGAGAGACAUCACUAGUGAACAUCACGUGACUCCGGUCCAUAUCAUCAUCAUUGUUUACACCUCCAUCAUUUACCGCUUUCAUUUAAUUUUUCGUUGCAAUCACUAUUACUUUCCCGCUUGUGAUUUGAUCCUUUGCAAACUACAAGGCUGGAGAGAUUGACAACCUCUCUGUACUCGUUGGGAGCAAAGUUAUUUGUUGUGUGUGCAGGUCCACAUCUUCUUCUGACCAUGACAGGAGACACCUACUUGUUGAGCCUAGGAGUCCUCUUGGUUUGAUAAACCUUACAGUCUCCAUGUAAGGGAAAUCUGCUGCUGACUACAUCUCCACCUUCCACUUGGGGUAACCAACGAGGGGCGAGAAGUAUAUCCAUCAACUCAUCAUCAAGCAAAAUUUCUAGCGCCGUUGCCGGGGACUCGAGUCUUCAAGAUAGGGGAGUUGCACGCUAUCUUUUAUCUUUGCUUUUUAGUCUUGUUAGUUUGCUUUUUAGUCUUGUUAGUUUGCUUUUUAGUUUUUACUUGAGAGUCUUAUACCAAAAACCAUAAAAAAAUUAGUUCCUUUGUUCUUGCUUUUUUCUGCUGCUACGGGUUCCACUGAAAACAUCAAGUUGUGUGACUUCACUAGUCACAACAACAAUGGCUUUAUGUGCACUCCUAUUGCUGCUCCCGCCACUGGAGCCACGUCCUAUGAGAUUAAACCUACUUUACUGAACCUUGUUAUGAAAGAUCAAUUCUACGGUGCUGGAGAUGCUGCUGCCUUGCACUUGAACAAUUUUGUUGAGCUCUGUGAUAUGCAAAAAUAUAAAGAAGAAGAUGGUGAUAUUGUUAAACUUAAGAUUUUUCCUUUCUCCUUGAGAGGAGGAGCUAAAGUGUGGCUUCAAUUUUGGCUAGGAAUAGCAUAGAUUCUUGGGAUAAGUGCAAAGAUGCUUUUAUUUAGGACAGUAAAACUGAACCUAAACCCAGCCUUCUCACGCCACCAUCGAUUUUGGCCGUUAGAUCAUCUGUUUGGGGUCUUUUUGGCCGUCCGAUCAUUGUUUGCACUGCACUUCUCGCUAACUGGGCCUCCUGUCCUAAGGGGCAGCUACUCAGCAGAAAAUUCGGUGGCCUCUGGUUAAUUGGGCCAAUUUCCACACGAUGAUUCAGUCUCAUCAAGCCCACAAGCUCCUCCAUGUAUCGGCCCCUUUUCGUUCCCCCUCCGGUCCUCCCUCUCUCUCCUUGACUUGCGCCGCCGCCCCAGCAUUACGUCUUGUAUUUCUCAAUCAAUCGGGAAGCCGAUACAGAGAGGAUGCGGCGAGCGACCGAUAAAGAGGACGUGGGUGGCCUGCGAUGGAAUCCAGCCGAGGUGCGACUGGAUGGGAUCCAGCGGAAGCGCCGGAUGCGGGUGAAUCGGGGGCCAGUCAAUCCAGUCUUCGUGCAAGACGCUGUAGAAAGGUGGGACGACAUUGGCGAUAUUGGCGGCUCAUCUCGUGGAAACUGCUCCACUCAGACUUCAAACACACAAUCAUACUUCAGUUUCUAAUCACGCAUUCAUGGCGGGGGCCGACGUCUCAUGUGUUGGGCACUUCAGUUUCCAUGUGGUACGUGUAUAUAGGCUUCCUCCCCUGCCCCUCUUCGCUCAUCCUCUGUGAUCCAGCAGAACAACAUCCUGAGCAUUGCCCGGUGGAGCCGUAGAAGCAUGGGGGCGAACGGCCCAGCUAGCAGCAUGUCCGCCUCGUCGUCCAAUUCGUCGAUCAUGGCUGUUGAUGGUGGCACAAUCCAGAAGCCAUGGUUGUAUGUCUGGCUUGGGAACCCCGACAGGAUGUACAAUCUAAUGGGAUUAAGCGCCAUCGACGAGGAGAGGUGGAGGCUUGAGGUACUAGCUGCUAAUGUUUCAAUCCUACUAGGCAGUGCCUUGCUAUUAAUGUCUACUACGGCAGUGGAAAAGAGGAGUUCAUUGCAGUCUAUAAGAUGGAUGUGUGAUCCGUGAAGUAAAGAUCCAUCCGGCAUCCGUGAAUGGCUGAGGCAAAAUUUUAGUGUUGAAUAGAAAAUAAGUAGAUUUGUUGGAAGUGCAUCAGUAGGAUGCAAAUGGAACUUUUGAGACUUCAUGAAGUUGAGCAAAACUGCUGAAAAUAAAUUCAGUUAUGCAACCAAAGUAGAGCCUCUUCAGCAAGAGAACCUACAUAUUUUAAGUUUUUUAUAGCCUGAUCCGGAUAACGUAAGUUAAGUUUGUAAUCUUUGUGAAUCAUUUUGCUCCAGUUUUCUUAGUAUCCUUUUUGGUUAUGCUAAACUUACAUCCUUCUUUCAACAGUUUAGUGAUUAUUUAGAAGGGACGCUGCGUAUUCCUAGAUGCACCGGAGCACUAGAUGUGGUCUGAUUUGGCCUUUGUACUUCAUUUCACUCCACAUCAGUGACUCUUAAUGAAAAUUUAGUUGAUGUAAUUUGUGAUCAAACUUGUUGCCUGCUACCUUAUUAAAUCUAAUUGCACAACUCGGUGGGUAGGCUCGGUUUACCUGAAGCUUUAUGUUCUUGCCUACAUUUUUUGCUACUUUCAUUGGUUUUGCGAAGCCAUGUAAUGUUUGUAGUAGCAUAGCCUUUCUUAUAUAGAUUUUAACAGCAGUGAGAUUUAUUUUUAAGGAUAACACUGGGAUAUUAGAUUUUUUUUGUAGAAUUCUCAAAUUGUUCUCAAUUAUGCCACCCUGCCUACUUGGAUUUCGCCUCGCUUGUUCUGAGGGAGCUGUGCUAGCCACCAUCGACUGUUGAAGUUAAUCAUGAUGCAAUUCAUAAAUCGUAGUUGCUAGAAAUCUUAAUUGAUCCAUUUUAACUAUGUCCAGCAAAAUAGAUGUUACAUGCUUGGAAAAGGCUACUUAGGCUUGAUGAUAAGCUUUUCUCAGGGGCAACAGUAUUAUUAUUUUUGGUUGUUUGACACUACAAACUCUUGGCAUUCGGUUAACUAUGUACCGUUCUAUACUCAUCCGUACUUAUAGCUAAGAAUACUAGAGGUAUUGAAUAGUGUGAUUAGUUAAUCUAUAGUCUGGCUUCAGUAUCUCACUAUGAUAACAUGUUGUUAUCUAAAUUAAUCGAUUGUAAAACUGGGGCUACGAAACCAAUUUGAAUGAUGGGACCCAUUUGUUUUGUCCUGUGUUCGCUCAGCAAGGAAGAGCAAUAAGAGGUACUUUGUAGUAUAAUGCAUUGUACUGAUAACAUUUUGUUGCCUUAAAACAUACUCAAACGAUCUGCUAUUUGAAGUUUAUUCAUUUAGCCCGCUUGUGUGGUCUCAUAUUUUUGCCGUUGUGGACUCUGGCUCACAUACUAUCCAAUUCUGGUCAUUUCAUUUUAAUCCAUGGAUGUUCAUGUCCAAUUCUGGAGUACUACGCACGUGAGCCGAAUGGACGCUGGGCAGUUAGCUGCGGUUCCUAGAAGAUAUUAAUGGUCUGGGAGUGCGCCAAGCCGUUCCAAUCAGUCUCUCUCCCUCCCGGUAAAGAAAUGUGUUGGACAGAGAGAACAUCGCUCUGAGAGAAAGAACCAAUGGCACCGUUCCUGUGAAGGAGAUGUGAAGGUGUGCAGCGAGGAGAUGCGGACCUCCCAGUUUAUGUUACUUACGCUAAUACAUUUGCACUAAUUACCUACCAUUCUAUUGUAAAAAGGGACGGACGCGGCAACGCGCGUCUUGAAUGAUCUAGUUGGGAAGUAUGACCCGCCUGUUAAGAUUAUCCAGUUGAGGAAUAACAUUAUGAAUUUUAGGCAAUUGGAUAAUGAACAUGUUGCUCAAGCUUGGGAAUGUAUGAAAUCUCUUGUUAAGAAUUGCCCUACACAUGGUUUGACUACUUGGAUGGUUAUCCAAACUUUCUAUGCACGAUUGAACUUUACCUCGCGGAAUCUGUUAGACUCGGCCGCGGGAGGGACCUUUAUGUCAACUACACUUGGUGCUACCACAAAGCUAUUGGAUGAGAUGAUGACAAAUUAUUCUCAAUGGCACACCGAGAGAGCACCAACAGGUAGGAAGUAAACUCUGUUGAGGAGAUCUCCUCCCUUAAUGAUAAGGUUGACAUGAUCAUGACUCUACUUACUAAGCAAGAUCCUAUUGAUCCUCAUGAUGUUCCUUUAAAUUCUUUGGUUGCUCAAGAAAGAGAGCAACUUGAUGUUAAUUUUAUCUCUAGGAAAAACUUUAAUAACAAUGCUUAUAGGAGUAAUUUUGGUAGCAAUCCUAUACCGUUCCCAUCCAACAACUAUGGGAACAAUAACAAUUAUCCUAGAACCAAAAACUCCACUUCUGAAUUAGAGAGCAUGCUUAAGGAUUUUAUCACUUCUCAAAAAGCCUUCAGCAAGAGUGUAGAAGAGAAACUAGAAAAAUUAGAUAGUCUCUGUUUGAAGGUGGACAACAUAGCCGAUGAUGUAGAGAUGAUUAAAAUUAGAACUUCCCCACUUGAGGAAAGGAACACCACAUCCAUGAAUGCUACCCAAGUCCAAAUUAUUGAGAACAGAAGAAUGCUAGCCAAACUUAAAGAGAGAUGGGCUAGAGAAAAAGAAGAGGAAGAGAUAAUUAAGAGCCUCCCUACACACACUACCAUUUCUACUAUACAAGUUAUUGAGGAUCUCAAAACUUUUAGAACCCAUCGUACUCCUAGUCCCAAUGGACCUAUUAAUGGUGAUGCUAAUCCUCUACUAUAGGACAAGAAGGUCCUUUGAAUUUAGAGACUACCAAAAGAAUGAGUUUAGAUGACAUUACUACCACUUUAAUUAAUGGUAGUAAUCUUGAUUUUGACAAUUGUAGUCUCUCCGAAGUUAUCACUUUUUUUUGCAAAGAAUGGCUAAAGACCCCCACACUAGUACACUCAAUAUUGCCUUCACCGAGCAUAUUACCAAUGCUCUUAUCAAAGCUAGGGAGGAGAAGCUCAAGCUAGAGACUUCUAUUCCUAGAAAACUAGAAGAUGGUUGGGAUCCUAUGGUCAAAAUAAAAUUGAAUAAUAUCUCUUGCUUUGCUUUGUGUGAUGUUGGAGCUAGUGCCUCCGUUAUGCCCAAAAGAAUGCAUGAUAUGCUUGAUUGGAAACCUUACGAUCCAUGUUCUUUUGGUGUUCGUCUCAUUGAUUCUUCCAUAAAGAAACGUUUAGGGGGAAUUGAUGAUGUUCUUAUUAUUGUCAAUGAUAAUUAUGUGCCCGUUGAUUUUCUUAUUAUGAACAUUGAAUGUGAUCCUUCGUGUCCAAUUAUUUUGGGACAUCCUUUUCUCCGCACCGUUGGUGCUAUCAUUGACAUGAAAGAGGGAAUUAUUAAAUUCCAAUUUCCUCUUAAAAGGGGAAUGAAAUACUUCCCUAGAAAUAAUAUUAAGUUACCUUAUGAGCCCGUUACUCGGGCAAGUUAUUCUUUUGGAGUUGAUAACACUUGAUCUUCUUCCAUUAUGCCUAGCUCAAAGGCAUAAAAGAAAGCGUUUGUUGGGAGGCAACACAAUUUGUUUUUACUUUCUAUUUUAGUGAUCUUGAUGCUUUUUACUAAUGUAGCAACAUCAUUGUAUCUUUAUUUUUAAGCUUUGUGCCAAGUUAUAGCCUCCGAUUGCAAUAAAGUUUAAAAAUUGUGACAUGUUGUCCAGAAACAGAUUUUGUCUGCCUGACGGAAAAAUUCGCCAAGCAUCACCAGUUCAUAUUUUUGAUCUGAUUUUUUUACAGAAUGCUAUAUAUAAUUGACUUUCUAGCAUCUGUUCUGAGUUUUUUUAUUUGAGUUGCUGAAGUACCCCGAAUAAAUUAUUUACUACCUGAUGUUCUGUUUUUCACAGAUUCUCCCUUGUUUUGCGUUUUCAUUGUUUUGCAAAUCCUAAGUUUACUUUUUAUUUGCAAAAACCUUUUGUUAUUCAUAAGAAGCAGUAGAUUUUUAUGAAAAUCUUUAUUUACAGCAGGUAAUGAAUUAUUUUAUUAAGGUUACUAACCACUCUAAUCAGCUUAUGAUGAGUUUCGUAUGAAGGGAGUUUUCAAGUAUGCGAUGGGAGAUGAUGAAAGAAGAUACUGUUGGAAAUAUGCCCUAGAGGCAAUAAUAAAUUGGUUAAUAUUAUAUUUUCUUGUUCAUGAUAAUCGUUUAUUAUCCAUGCUAUAAGUGUAUUGAUUGGAAACUCAAAUACAUGUGUGGAUACAUAGACAAAACACUGUCCCUAGGAAGCCUCUAGUUGAUUAGCUCGUUGGUCAAAGAUGGUUAAGGUUUCCUAGCCAUAGACAAGUGUUGUCACUUGAUAACGGGCUCACAUCAUUAGGAGAAUGAUUUGAUGGACAAGACCCAAACUAUAAACGUAGCAUAUGAUCGUGUCAGUUUAUUGCUACUGUUUUUUGCAUGUCAAUGUAUCUGUUGCUAUGACCAUGAGAUCAUGCAACUCCCAGACACCGGAGGAAUACCUUGUGUGUAUCAAACGUUGCUACGUAACUGGGUGACUAUAAUGGUGCUCUACAAGUAUCUCCGAAGGUGCCUGUUGGGUUGGCAUGGAUCAAGACUGGGAUUUGUCACUCCGUGUGACGGAGAGGUAUCUCGGGGCCCACUCGAUAAUACAACAUCACAGUAAGGCUUGCAAGCAAUGUGACUAAGGAGUUAGUUACGGGAUCUUGUAUUACAGAACGAGUAAAGAGACUUGCCGGUAACGAGAUUGAACUAGGUAUGGAGAUACCGACGAUCGAAUCUCUUGCAAGUAACAUACCGAAGGACAAAGGGAACAACAUACGAGAUUAACUUGAACGUUGACAUAGAGGUUCAACUGAUAGAGAUCUUCGUAGAAUAUGUAGGAGACAAUAUGGACAUCCAGCUCCCGCUAUUGAUUAUUGACCGGAGAGUGUCUCAGGUCAUGUCUGCAUAGUUCUCCCAUAGGGUCUGCACACUUAAGGUUCAGUGACAUUUCGGUAUUGUUGAGUUAUAGGUGUUGGUGAACGAAGGUUGUUUGGAGUCCCGGAUGAGAUACCGGACGCUACGAGGAGCUCCGGAAUGGUCUGGGGGUAAAGUUUGAUAUAUAUAGGAAGUCCUGUUUUGGUCACCGGAAAAGUUUCGGGCUCAUUGAUAGUGUACCGGGAGUGCCGGGAGGGGUGCCGGGGACCAUCGGGAGGGGUGUCACUCCCCAAGAGGCCUCAUGGGCUAUGGGAAGAGAUAAACCAGCCCCUAGUAGGCUGGAAUAAGUUCCCACUAAGGCCCAUAAGGUUUGAGAAGGAAAAAACAAGAUGGAAGGAGUUUCCAAGUGGGAAGGAGGAAUCCUACUCCAAAUAGGAUUGGAGGAGGACUUCUCCUCUCCUCCUUGCGCAAGGGAAAAAAAGCACAACUAGGGCGCAACCCUCUCCCUCCUCUCCUCCUAUAUAUACUAACGGUUUUAGAGACAACAGAAAACAGCCACGUGCUUCCCUCUCUCUCUAGAUCUGUUUCUCCUCUAGUUUCAGCGGUGCUUAGGCGAACCCUGCUAGAAUAGCACCACCACCACCAACACCAUGCCGCCGUGCUGGAGAACUCAUCUACCUCUCUGCCCCCUCUUGCUAGAUCAAGAAGGUGGAGAUCGUCAUUGAGCUGUACGUGUGCGGAACGCGGAGGUGCCGUCCGUUCGGCACUUGAUCGGGACAGAUUGUGAGACGGUUUGUGGGACGGAUCAUGGGACGGUUCGUGGGACGGAUCGUGAAGACGUACCACUACAUAAACCACGUUUAUUAACGCUUCCUCUUAGCAAUCUACAAGAGUAUGUGGAUCCGAUCUCCCUUUCGUAGAUGAUCAUCACCAUGAUAGGUCUUCGUGUGCGUAGGAAAUUUUUUGUUUCCCAUGCAACGUUCCCCAAUAGAUACAGGAGCAUCAAGUGCUCAAGAUUGGGGAUGCCCCCGUGCACCCCAAGAAACAUUCAAAGGAGACUCAAGCGUCUAAGCUUGGGGAUGCCCCCGUGCAUCCCCUUCUCUAUCAACAAUCAUCAGUUCGUCCAUCUCCAUGCUAUAUUUUUAUCACUUAAUAUGAUAUGUGCUAUGCUUGGAGCGUCUCACUAUUUACUUUUUAGUUUGUUUUAGUUCUGCUUUCUAUUCAUAACAAGUUGGAACUUACCCUACCUUGUUUGGGAGAGAGAUACUCUCCAUUCCACUCUAGAACACAACAUAGGUUUUCAUGCUUAUCUUUUUCGUGUGUUCUUCAUCUUUUCGUAGCUACUAUCAUGCUUAGCUCUUAGUUUUCAUGCUUACGUUUUUAAGAGCUACUCCCUCCGUUCCUAAAUAUAAGUCUUUUUAGAGGUUUCACUAAUAGACUACAUACGGAUGUAUAUAGACAUAUUUUAGAGUGUAGAUUCAAUCAUUUUGCUCCGUAUGUAAACACCUAGUAAAAUCGCUUAAAAGACUUAUAUUUUGGAACGGAGGGAGUAUUAUUUAGGUUGCUUCUGGAACUUUCUUAAGUAUCAUGCUUAUCUUGUUUAGAGAGUUGGCUCGUUGCACUGAUUUGUGUGUCUUGCAUGAGUGGGUAAUUGAGGUUGCUAUUUAAGUAUAGUAGUAACUUGAAAUAGUUCUGAGGUAUUGAUUUGGGUAAUGUUUGGACUAUUGGUGCCAAGAGCUUGAGCCUAUUGGUGAUAGGUGUCAUAUUUUUGGAAAUCAGUGUGUUUUUCAAAAACUAAAAAUUAGUUGAGAACUCUAGCUACUAAAUUGAUCGCUAACCUCUGGAGGGGUUGGAAUAUAUAGAGUACCCUCACGUUACCAUGAGUCGAGGAUGCGCAAGGAUAACCAAACCCCCAAACUCUCCUCCUCGGGGUACUUGUCUCUUUGUGAAUUUCCUAACUAGAUAGAGAGUUACCGAUAAUAAGUGUAUGAGUUCUUCAGACUAAUGUGAGUAUUCGAUUGUUGGCACUUCCACCAUCCAUAUUUUGCUAGCCUCUUCGGUACCGUGCAUUGCCCUUUAUCACAUUGUGAGUUGGUGCAAACUCCGCUGGUGCAUCCAAACCAUGACAUGAUACGCUCUGUCAUACAUAAGCCUCAUUAUAUCUUUCCUCAAAACAGCCACCAUACCUACCUAUUAAGGCAUUUCCAUAGCCUUUCCGAGAUACAUUGCCAUGCAACAUCCACCAUCUCAUGACUUGAUCUUCAUGUCAUACAUGCUUUUGCUUGAUCGAGGAGCCGCAUGCUAGUUGGGCCUUGCCCUUAUUACUACUACAUGACGCGCUAGUAUCAUUGCAUAUCCUGCUACACUAGUAGAGGCAUACAUUUGCAUACAUCAUGACAGUUUUCACUUGUCUUUAUGUUGAGUACUUCUUAUAAAGUGUGAUGAUUUUUAUUUUUAUUCAUGUAAAACAUAGAGUGUUGCCCUUAAGUGAGGAAAAUAUGCCAAAGUGGACAAACAAAAGAUCCCAAAGAGGACAAAUGAGAGAUAAAAAGAAAGAGCCAAAGAGGCCACAAAAAAUAAAAAAGAAGAAAAAGAAAAAAAAGAAAAAAAGAAGAGAAGGGGGCAACACUACUAUCCCUUUUGAAAGAUCCACACUCGUACUCCAUUACUAUAUUGGUACUACAUAGAAAUUAUCAUUCAUGUAUAACUAUGUGGGGAUCCUUACACUAUAGAACUUCGUUUGCAUAUUCCUAUGAUGGGUCUGCUCAAAUGAGCUCUAGGUCUUCAUGAGCAAACAAAUUGGAUGCACCCCCACUAGUUCCAUUGGAGAGCUGAUGACCCACAAGUAUAGGGGAUCUAUCGUAUUCCUUUCGAUAAGUAAGAGUGUUGAACCCAACGAGGAGCAGAAGGAUCUGACAAGUGGUUUUCAGCAAGGUAAAAUCUGCAAUCACUGAAAUUAACGGUAACAAGUGGUUGUGUGGUGAGAUGAUUCGUAGCAAGCAACAAGUAAAAAAACUAGCAACGGUGCAGCAAAGUGGCCCAAUCCCUUUUGUAGCAAGGGACAAGCCUAGACAAACUCUUAUAGGAGGAAAAACGCUCCCGAGGACACACGGGAAUUUCUGUCACGCUAGUUUUCAUCAUGUUCAUAUGAUUCACGUUCGUUACUUUGAUAGUUUGAUAUGUCGGUGGACCGGCGCUUGGGUACUGCCCUUACUUGGACAAGCAUCCCACUUAUGAUUAACCCCUCUCGCAAGCAUCCGCAACUACGAAAGAAGAAUUAAGACAAAGUCUAACCAUAGCAUUAAACUAGUGGAUCCAAAUCAGCCCCUUACGAAGCAACGCAUAAACUAGGGUUUAAGCUUAUGUCACUCUAGCAACCCAUCAUCUACUUAUUAUUUCCCAAUGCCUUCCUCUAGGCCCAAAUAAUGGUGAAGUGUUAUGUAGUCGAUGUUCACAUAACACCAUUAGAGGAAAAACAACAUACAACACAUCAAAAUAUAGAACGAAUACCAAAUUCACAUGACUACUUAUAACAUGACUUAUCCCAUGUCCUCAGGAACAAAAGUGACUACUCACAAAGCAUAAUCAUAUUCAUGACCAGAGAGGUAAUGAGUAUCAUCAAGGAUCUGAACAUAAACUCUUCCAUCAAGUAAUCCAACUAGCAUCAACUACAAAGAGUAAUUAACACUACUAGCAACCUUACAAGUACCAAUCAGAGUCGCGAGACGGAGAUUGGUUACAAGUGAUGAACUAGGGUUUGGAGAUGAGAUGAUGCUGAUGAAGGCGAGUCCCGUCCGAUGAGAGGAGUGUUGGUGAUGACGAUGGCGACGAUUUCCCCUUCCGUGAGGGAAGUUUCCUCGGCAGGAUCGUCCUGCCGGAGCUCUAGAUUGGUUCUGCUCAAGUUCCGCCUCGUGGCGGCGGCGAAUCCUCCGAAAAGCCUCCUCUUGAUUUUUUUGGAACGAAACCCUUGAUAUAGCAGAAGAGGGGAGCCAGUGGGCCAACAGGGAGCCCACAAGCCCCCUAGGCGCGGCCAGGGGGGUAGGCCCCGCCUACCAGGCUUGUGGCCCCCUGGUUGCGCUCCUCUGACACUUCUUCCGCCCAGUAUUUUUUAUAAAUCCCAAAAAAAUCCACGUUGAUUUUCGCGGCUUUUGGAGUUGCGCAGAAUAGGCAUCUCAAACUUGCUCCUUUUUCAGGCCAGAAUUCCAGCGGACGACAUUCUCCCUCUUCAUGUAAACCGUGCAAAAUAAGAGAGAAAAGGCAUAAGUAUUGUACCAUGAAGUGAUAUAACAGCCCAAAAAGCGAUAAAUAUCAACAUGAAAGCAUGAUGCAAAAUGGACGUAUCAAAUCCCCCAAGCUUAGACCUCGCUUGUCCUCAAGGGAAAGCCUAGAUUAAUAAACAUGACCACAUGUUUAGAGAGAGAGGUGUCGACGAAACAAGAUACGCACAUGCAGGCGUCAUGAUCAUGAUCAGAACAACAAUACCGACAUAUAAUCUCUCAUGAUAAAGUGACAAUUCCUUCACAAAGUAAAGCAUGGAUCAAGAACCUUACCGAGAAUUAGCAACCGAUAGCCUUUAGUCAUUGAAGCAAUUGCAAUUUAUUACAACAUCAGAAAGAGUCAAAUAAGAGCUUGUAAAGCAAAUCCACAUACUCAAUCAUCUUUUCGUUCUCUACGAUUGCUACAACUCACGUGGUACUCAAGAGAUCAAAGUUUCAACUGGACACAGAGAAAGAUAGGGGCUUAUAGUUUCCCCUCCCAACCAUUUACCUCAAGGGUAAUGUCAACAAUAAUAAUUCAUGAAUACUUACCUCCUAGUUGAUAUAUGAAUAUAGAUCUUUCCCUAGCAUAUGACGUUAGCCAAGAUAAAGGCGAAAUAAGGAAUUGCUGUAGAUCACCAUGACUCUUUCAAGGGAAAAAAGUAAAGGUACAAGAUAGGCCCUUCGCAGAGGGAAGCAGAGGUUGUCAUGCGCUUUUGAGGUUGGGAUGCGUGUCCUCUUAGUGCGGAGGAACAUCACUUUAUAUUGCCUCAUGUGAUAAAGAACUUUAUUAUGCAGUCUGUCGCUUUUAUGUCUUCCUCAUCACAGGUUCGUACAAAGCUUAUUUUCCACACACUAAUAGAUCAUACAUAUUAGGGAGCAAUAUUUAUUGCUUGCACCGAUGCCAACUUACUUGAGGGAUCUUAUUCAAUCCAUAGGUAGGUAUGGUGGACUCUCAUGGCAAAACUGAGUUGAAGGUUUAUGGAUGGACAAGUAGUAUCUCUACUUGGUGCGGGACUUUUGGCUAAUAUGAGGUGGAGGCAAUCGUCACAUGCUAAGGGAUCUUUAAUCAUAUAACAUUGUUCGGAACCAAGCGAACAUAAUUCAUUAUGUUGUCUUCCUUGUCCAACAUCUACUUCUAAGCAUGUAAUAGCUUAGUGAGUGUUCACAAUCAUAUAUGGUGUCAAAGAUGAUAUAUUUAUAUAUGAACUUCUCCUUCUUUAUCACUUCCUAUUAAUUGCAACAAUGACCAAGGUCUACGUUUGUCUACCCUCAACAAGUUUCAAUCAACAUUCUUUUUAUAUGUGAAGCCAUCACUUCCCAUAAGAUCAUUACAUGAUCUUUCAUUCUUUUGUUCUUUUCUCAAUCUUUUGAUCAUGGCAAGAGGCAAGGCCCUUCAACUAAGACACUCUUUAUUAUAUGGCUCGUGAGCUCAAAUACAUAGGGGGUGACACAAAGCAAAACUCAAGCCUAAAACACUAAGACCUUUAUUCUACUAGAGAAAGAGAAAACUGAAAAAGAACAAACUAAAGCAAAGGUAAAGGCAAAAUAUGUGAUGGUGAUACGAUACCGGGGCAACUCCCGCAAGCUUGGCACAAGCCAAGGGGAUUGCCCAUACCCAUGCUUAGUUGUCUUCCUUUGGAGAUGAUGGUGGUGGAGUUGUUGCAAUCUUUGAUUCCAAGAGGGCCAUUAAUCUUUGAUUUAUACGUUGGAGAUCUGUGAUAUGUUUCUCCAGCAAAACAACUUCACGAGUGAGAUGAGUAUUACGAGCACGAUUUGUUUCACAAAACCUCAAGAGUUCAAUCAAGGAUGGAGACAGUAGGUGGAGGUAGGGUUGGAGGAAAUCUACUUCUUCAACUUCUUCCUUGUUGAGCACAGAUUGCACUUCGUCCCAUGCCUGAUUCUUCUCCUUAGUUUUGCCCUUGGUUUCUUUAGGUAGCCUUUCCCUGGCCUCGAUGACCUUCAUUCUUUUCAGGUCAGCAUUUACUUCUCCAUAGACUUGAGAGAGAUGGUUCUCCCCCAUAGAUUCCUGAGAUGACAUCUUGACCUAAAUCUGCGGCAGAAAAUAGGCUUGAAAUGAAAACAGAGGAAAAUCGCGUGAUACAAGGGUCAGACCUUACGGGAGAAUAUAUAAUGAUUUUUUUUCGACCAGAAGGAGUACUCUACACGAAAACGUAGUCCGGGAGGCACACGAGGUGGCCACAAGCCCCCCAGGCGUGGCCAGGGGGUGGCCCCGCGCCUGGCAGGCUUGUCGCCUCCUCGCGCGCUUUCCUGACUACUUCCAAUUUUUCUAUUUUUUCAAAAAUUCCAAAACGGAGAAAAAUUCCUACUGGAAAAGUUUUGGAUUCUGUUUUCUUACCGAAUCACAAACCUCUUCGUUUUCAGAGUCUGAAACAGGCUGAUAAAUAUCCCUUAGGUAUUCUUCCGGAGUUAUGGUAUUGAUAAUAUUGCUUUCAACAUUUAUGGGAGUACCUAAGAUAUAAUGCUUGAUUCUCUGCCCAUUUACAACUCUCGGACCAUUACCUUCCAUUUUGUUCAUCUUGAUAGCACCGGAACGAUAUACUUCCUCAACAAUAUAGGGACCUUCCCAUUUAGAGAGAAGCUUACCUGUAAAAAAUCUUAAACGAGAAUUAUAUAGCAAGACAUAAUCACCUACAUUGAACUCACUAAUGACCCACAAGUAUAGGGCAUCAUUCGUAGUCCUUUUGAUAAGUAAGAGUGUCGAACCCAACGAGGAGCAGAAGGAUCUGACAAGUGGUUUUCAACAAGGAAAUGUGUGCAAGCACUGAAGUUGUCGGUAACAAGUGAUUGUGUGGUGAGAUGAUUUGUAGCAAGCAACAAGUAACAAAAGUAGCAACGGUGCAGCAAGUGGCCCAAUCCCUUUUGUAGCAAGGGACAAGCGUGGACACAGUCUUAUAGGAGGAAAAACGCUCUCGAGGACACAGGGGAAUUUCUGUCAUGCUAGUUUCAUCAUGUUCAUAUGAUUCGCGUUAGUUACUUUGAUAGUUUGAUAUGUGGGUGGACCAGCGCUUGGGUACUUCCCUUACUUGGACAAGCAUUCCACUUAUGAUUAACCCUCUCUCAAGCAUCCGCAACUACGAAAGAAGAAUUAAGACAAAGUCUAACCAUAGCAUUAAACUAGUGGAUCCAAAUCAGCGCCUUACGAAGCAACGCAUAAACUAGGGUUUACGCUUCUGUCACUCUAGCAACCCAUCAUCUACUUACUACUUCCCAAUGCCUUCCUCUAGGUCCAAAUAAUGGUGAAGUGUUAUGUAGUCGACGUUCACAUAACACUACUAGAGGAAAAACAACAUACAACACAUCAAAAUAUCGAACGAAUACCAAAUUCACAUGACUACUAUUAGCAUGACUUAUCCCAUGUCCUCAGGAACAAAAGUAACUACUCAUAAAUCAUAAUCAUAUUCAUGAUCAGAGAGGUAUUGAGUAGCAUCAAGGAUCUGAACAUAAACUCUUCCACCAAGUAAUCCAACUAGCAUCAACUACAAAGAGUAAUCAACACUACUAACAACCUUACAAGUACCAAUCGGAGUCGCGAGACGGAGAUUGGUUACAAGUGAUGAAGUAGGGUUUGGAGAUGAGAUGGUGCUGAUGAAGAUGUUGAUGGUGACGAGUCCCCUCCGAUGAGAGGAGUGUUGGUGAUGACGAUGGCGAUGAUUUCCCCCUCUGAGAGGGAAGUUUCCCCGACAGGAUCGUCCUGCCGGAGCUCUAGAAUUGUUCUCCUCAAGUUCCGCCUCGUGGCGGCGGCGAAUCCACGAAAAAGCUCCGCUCUGAUUUUUUCCUGGACGAAACCCUUCAUAUAGGAAAAGAGGGGGGGGGCAAGUGGGCCAGCAAGGUGCCCACAAGCACCCAUGGCGCAGCCUGGGGGUGGACGCGUCGUGCAGUCUUGUGGGCACCCUCUAGUGCCCCUCUGGAACUUCUUCGGCCCAGUAUUUUUGAUAAAUCGGGAAAAAAAUUCCUCGUUGAUUUUUACGGCGUUUGGAGUUGCGCAGAAUAGGUAUCUCAACUUUGCUCCACUUUUAGGCCAGAAUUCCAGUUGCCGGUAUUCUCCCUCUUCAUGUAAACCUUGCAAAAUAAGAGAGAUAAGGCAUAAGAAUUGUACCAUGAAGUGAAAUAACAGCCAAAGAAACGAUAAAUAUCAACAUGAAAACAUGAUGCAAAAUGGACGUAUCAACUCCCCCAAGCUUAGACCUCGCUUGUCCUCGAGCGAAAGCCGAGCUCAAUAAAUAUGUCUACAUGUUUAGGGAGAGAGGUAUCGACAAAACAAGAUACGAACAUGCAUGCAUCAUGAUCAAGAUCUAAAACAACAAUACCAACAUAUAAUCUCUCAUGCUAAAGUGAUAAUUCCUUCACAAAGUAAAGCAUGGAUCAAGAACCUUACUGAGAAGUAACAACCGAUAGCCUUUAGUCAUUGAAGCAAUUGCAAUUUAUCACAACAUUAGAAAGAGUCAAAUAAGAGCUUGUAAAAAUAUCCACACACUCAAUCAUUCUUUCGUUCUCUACAAUUGCUACAACUCACGUGGUACUCAUGAGAUCAAAGUUUCAGCUGGACACAAAGAAAGAUAUGGGCUUAUAGUUUUGCCUCCCAAAUGUUUACCUCAAGGGUAAUGUCAACAAUAAUAAUUCAUGAAUGCCUACCUCCAAAUUGACAUAUGAAUAUAGAUCUUUCCCAAGCAUAUGACGAUAGCCAAGAUAAAGGUGAAAUAGGGAAUUGGGGAAGAUCACCAUGACUCUUUCAAGGGCAAAAAGUAAAGGUACAAGAUAGGCCCUUCGCAGAGGGAAGCAGAGGUUGUCAUGCGCUUUUGAGUUUUGGAUGCGUGUCCUCUUAGUGCGGAGGAACGUCACUUUAUAUUGCCUCCUGUGAUAAAGAUCUUUAUUAUGCAGUCUGUCGCUUUUAUGUCUUCCUCAUCAUAGGUUCGUACAAAGCUCAUUUUCCACACACUAAUAGAUCAUACAUAUUAGAGAGCAAUUUUUAUUGCUUGCACCGAUUGCAACUUAUUUGAGGGGUCUUAUUCAAUCCAUAGGUAGGUAUGGUGGACACUCAUGGCAAAACUGGGUUGAAGGUUUAUGGAUGCACAAGUAGUAUCUCUACUUGUUGCGGGAGGUUUUGGCUAAUAUGAGGUGGAAGCAAUCGUCACAUACUAAGGGAUCUCUAAUCAUAUAACAUUGUUCAGAGCCAAGCAAACACAAUUCAUUACGUUGUCUUCCUUGUCCAAUAUCUACUUCUAGGCAUGUAAUAGUUUAUGAGUGUUCACAAUCAUAGAUGGUGUCAGAGAUGAUAUAUUUAUAUGUGAACCUCUCCUUCUUUAUCACUUCCUAUUAAUUGCAACCAUGACCAAGAUAUACGUUUGCCUACCCUCAACAAGUUUCAAUCAUCAUCCUUUUUAUAUGUGAAGCCAUCAAUUCCCAUAAGAUCAUUACAUGAUCUUUCAUGCCUUUGUUCUAUUCUCACUCUUUUGAUCAUGGCAAGAGGCAAAGCCCUUCAACUAAGACACUCUUUAUUAUAUGGCUCACGAGCAAGAAUACAACGGGGGUGACACAAAGCAAAACUGAAGACUAAAACGCUAAGACUUUUAAACUACUAGAGAAAAAUAAAACUGAAAAGGAACGAACUAAAACAAAGGUAAAGGCAAAAGAUGUGAUGGUGAUACGAUACUGGGGCAACUCCCCCAAGCUUGGCACAAGCCAAGGGGAUUGCCCAUACCAAUGCUCAGUUGUCUUCCUUUGGUGGUGAAGGACGAGUUGUUGUUGCAAUCUUUGACUCCAAGAGGGCCAUUAAUCUUUGAUUUAUACCUUGGAGAUCUACGAUAUGUUUUUCUAGCAAAACAAAUUCACGAGUGAGACAAGUAUUGCGAGCACGAGUUGUUUCACAAAACUUCAAGAGUUCAAUCAAAGAUGGAGACAGUUGGUGGAGGUAGGGUUGGAGGAAAUCCACUUCUUCAACUUCUUCCUUGUUGAGCACAGAUUGCACUUGGUCCCAUGCCUGAUCCUUCUCCUUAGCUUUGCGCUUGAUUUCUUUAGGUAGACUCUCCUUAGCCUCCAUGACCUCCAUCCUUUUCAGAUCAGCAUGAACUUCUCCAUAGAUUUGACGGAGGUUGUUCUCCCCCACAGAUUCCUGGGACGACAUCUUGACCUAGAUCUGCGGUAGAAAACAUGAUCGAAACGAAAAGCAGAGGAAAUCUGCAUGAUGCAGGGGUCAGACCAAACGGGAGUACAUAUAAUGAUUUUUUUCAGACGAGAAGGAGUACCCUGCAUGAAAACGGAGUCCGGGAGGCGCACGAGGUGGCCACAAGCCCUCACGGCGCGGCUAGGGGGUGGGCCCGCGCCUGGCAGGCUUGUCGCCUCCUCGCGCACUUUCCGGACUACUUCCAAAUUUUUUAUUUUUUCAAAUUUUCCAAAACGGAGAAAAUUUCCUACUGGAAAAGUUUUGGACUCUGUUUUCUUACCGAAUCACAUACCUCUUCAUUUUCGGAGUCUGAAACAGGCUCAUAAAUGUCCCUUAGGUAUUCUUCUGGAGUUAUGGUAUUGACAAUAUUGCUUUCAACAUUUAUGGGAGUUCCUGAGAUAUAAUGCUUGAUUCUCUGCUCAUUUACAACUCUCAGACAAUUACCUUCCGUGUUGUUGAUCUUGAUAGCACCGGAACGAUAUACUUCCUCAACAACAUAGGGACCUUCCCAUUUAGAGAGAAGCUUUCCUGCAAAGACUCUUAAACGAGAGUUAUAUAGCAAGACAUAAUCACCUACAUAGAACUCACGCUUUUGUAUCCUCUUGUCGUGCCACCUCUCAACCUUCGCUUUGAACAGGUUGGCAUUCUCAUAUGCCUGAGUUCUCCACUCAUCAAACGAGCUAAUAUCAAAUAACCUCUUCUCACCGGGAAGUUUGAAAUCAAAGUUGAGCUCUUUGAUUGCCCAAUAAGCUUUAUGCUCUAGCUCAAGAGGUAAGUGACAUGCUUUCCCAUACACCAUUUUGUAUGGAGACAUGCCCAUGUGAUUCUUAUAGGCAGUUCUAUAAGCCCACAGUGCAUCAUCGAGCUUCUUAGACUAAUUCUUUCUAGACCUGUUGACAGUCUUUUGCAGAAUUAGUUUAAUCUCCCUAUUACUUAGCUCUACUUGACCACUCGACUGAGGGUGAUAGGGAGACGCAAUUCUAUGAUUGACAUCGUACUUAGCAAGCGUUUUACGGAAAGCACCAUGAAUGAAGUGUGAACCACCGUCGGUCAUUAGAUAUCUAGGGACUCCAAAUCUAGGGAAGAUAACUUCUUUCAGCAUCUUGAUAGAGGUGUUGUGAUCAGCACUACUAGUGGGGAUAGCUUCUACCCACUUAGUGACGUAAUCAACAACAACUAGGAUAUGAGUAUACCCGUUGGAUAUUGGAAAAGGUCCCAUAUAAUCAAUGCCCCAAACAUCAAAUGGUUCAAUGACAAGUGAAUAGUUCAUAGGCAUUUCCUGACGUUUACUGAUAUUACCUAUUCUUUGACAUUCGUCACAAGACAAGACAAACUUACGGGCCUUCUUAAAGAGAGUGGGCCAAUAAAAACCUGAUUGCAAUACCUUGUGUACAGUUCUAUCUCCCGCAUGGUGUCCUCCGUAGGCCUCGGAGUGAAACUUAUGUAGGAUCUGUCCCUGUUCAUGUUCAGGUACACAACGUCUAAUAACACCAUCUACUCCUUCCUUAUAAAGGCGAGGAUCAUCCCAAAAGUAAUGUCUUAAGUCAAAGAAGAAUUUCUUCUUUUGCUGGUAUGUGAAACUAGGUGGUAUAUAUUUGGCAACGAUAUAGUUUGCAUAAUCAGCAUACCACGGUGCACUACGUGAAGCAUUGUUGACAUUCAAUUGCUCACCAGGAAAGCUAUCAUCAAUAGGUUGUGGGUCAUCAAGAACGUUCUCCAACCUAGACAAGUUAUCUGCUACUGGGUUAUCACCACCCUUUCUGUCGACAACGUGCAAAUCAAAUUCUUGUAGCAAGAGAACCCAUAUGAUAAGUCUAGGUUUAGCAUCCUUCUUCUCCAUGAGGUACUUAAUAGCAGCAUGAUCAGUGUGAAUAGUGACUUUGGAAUCAACUAUGUAAGACCUGAACUUUUCACAUGCAAACACGACUGCUAAAAAUUCCUUCUCCGUAGUGGCAUAGUUUCUUUGGGCACUGUCUAGAGUUUUACUAGCAUAGUGAAUAGCAUUCAACUUCUUAUCAACUCUUUGCCCUAGGAUAGCAGCAACAACAUAAUCACUAGCGUCACACAUGAUCUCAAAAGGCAAGUUCCAAUCAGGUGGUUGAACAAUAGGUGCGGUUAUCAAAGCCCUCUUAAGUAUUUCAAAGGCUUCCUCACAAUCUUCGUAAAAAACAAAAGGAAUAUCCUUUUGCAAGAGAUUGGUAAGAGGCCUAGAAAUCUUAGAGAAGUCUUUAAUGAACCUUCUAUAGAAACCAGCAUGACCAAGGAAACUUCUUAUACCUUUGAUAUCUGUGGGGUAUGCCAUUUUCUCGAUUGCAUCAACCUUAGCCUUAUCAACUUCAAUACCUCUUGCAGAAAUUUUAUGUCCUAAGCCGAUGCCUUCAUUAACCAUAAAGUGGCACUUCUCCCAAUUCAAGACAAGAUUGGUGUAUUUACAUCCCUGCAGGACUCGAUCAAGGUUGCUGAGGCAAUCAUCAAAGGAAGACCCGUAAACGGAGAAGUCAUCCAUGAAAACCUCAACAAUCUUUUCACAAAAGUCAGAGAAUAUAGCCAUCAUACAUCUUUGAAAGGUGGCAGGUGCAUUACAUAAGCCAAAAGGCAUACGUCUAUAAGCAAAGGUACCGAAAGGGCAGGUGAAAGUGGUUUUCUCCUGAUCAGAUUGUGCAACUGGUAUUUGGGAGAAACCAGAAUAUCCGUCUAGAAAGCAGAAGUGUGUGUGUUUGGACAACCUUUCUAGCAUUUCGUCGAUAAAAGGAAAAGGGUAAUGAUCUUUCCUAGUGGCUUUAUUCAAUUUCCUAAAAUUGAUCACCAUCCUGUAGCCGGUGAUAAUCCUCUGUGGGAUCAAUUCAUCUUUAUCAUUAGGGACAACGGUAAUGCCUCCCUUCUUAGGGACGCAAUGCACUGGACUCACCCAAUCGCUGUGAGCAACAGGAUAAAUGAUACCUGCUUCCAGGAGCUUUAGUAUUUCUUUUCUCACUACUUCUUUCAUCUUAGGAUUUAAUCUUCUUUGAUGAUCAACAACUGGUUUGAAGUCAGGAUCAGUUUUAAUCUUGUGUUGGCAUAGGGUAGGACUAAUGCCCUUAAGAUCAUCAAGAGUAUAUCCAAUAGCAGCACAGUGCUUUCUCACAGUUUUUUAGUAACUUCUUUUCUUCAUGCUCUGAGAGGCUAGCACUAAUAAUAAUAGGAUAUAUCUCCUUUUCAUCAAGAUAGGCAUACUUAAGAGUAUCAGGCAACUGUUUAAGCUCGAACACAGGAUCACCCUUUGGUGGGGGUGGAUCCCCAAGCAGUUCAACAUGCAAGUUAUUCUUAAGGAUAUGAUAUUGUUCUAAGACAACUCUAUCUAUCUCAUCCCUUUCAUCCAUAUGCAUAUCAUUUUCAUGCUCAAGCAAGUAUUGCUCUAAGGAAUCAGUAGGAGGCACGGUAAUAGAAGCUAAGGCAAUAGUUUCAUCCUUACUAGGCAACUCCUUUUCAUGAGGUUGUCUAUCAAACUUAGAGAAAUUGAACUCAUGUGACACACCUUCAAAGCCAACAAUGACAGUUUGCUUCUCACAAUCAAUAUGAGCAUUGACAGUAUUGAGAAAGGGCCUACCAAAUAUGAUGGGAAAAAAGCUAUCUUGUGCAGUAGCAAGAACGAGGAAAUCAGCAGGAUACUUCGUUUUACCACACAAGACUUCAACAUCCAUAACAAUUCCGACAUUGCAGAUAGUAUCUCUAUUGGCAAGCUGAAUAGUGACAUCUAUAGGUUCUAUCUCAACAGAUGCAAUCUCGUCUUUGAUUUCAUCAUAUAAGGAUUGAGGUAUUGCACUAACACUAGCACCCACGUCACAUAAACCAUGAUAACAAUGAUCUCCUAUCUUAACAGAAUCCACAUGCAUGCCAACAACAGGCCUAUGUUUGUCUCUAGCGUGAGGUUUAGCAAUUCUAGCAGCAUCUUCACAGAAGUGAAUAUUAUGUCCCUCAACUUCUUCAGACAGAAGAUCUUUGAUAAUAGCAAUGCUAGGUUCAACUCUAAUUUGCUCAGGGGGUGUAGGUGUUCUAAUAUAGCCUCUACGAAUCACAGUUGAAGCUUUAGAAUGAUCCUUUAUCCUAAGAGGGAAAGGUGGUUUCUCAAUGUAAGCACUGGGAAUAAUAGGAUCAUUAUAGGCAAUGACUUUCUCUUCAACUGGAGUUGGUUUAACUACAUUGACUUCUAAAGGAGGAUGAUAUUUAAACCACUUCUCUUUGGGGAGAUCAAUAUGAGUAGCAAAGGAUUCACACAAUGAAGCUACUAUCUCAGAGUCAAGUCCAUACUUAGCGCUAAAAUCACUAAAGGUAUUUGUCUCAACAAAGGAUUUAACGCAAUCAAACGUGAAAUUCAUACCUGAUUCCUUACCUUCUUCAAGCUCCCAAUCUUCAGAGUUGCGUUUAAUUCUCUCCAAUAAAUUCCAUUUGAAGUCAAUAUCUCUCUUCAUAAAAGAACCGGUACAAGAAGUGUCAAGCAUGGUGCGAUCAUCAUGAGAAAGCCGAGCAUAGAAGUUCUGAAUGAUAAUUUCUCUCGAGAGCUCAUGAUUGGGGCAUGAAUAUAACAUUUAUUUAAGCCUCCCCCAAGCUUGAGCGAUGCUUUCUCUGUCAUGAGUCCAAAAAUUGUAAAUAUAAUUCCGAUCACAAUGUACUAAAUGCAUAGGAUAAAACUUUUGACGAAAUUCCAAUUUCAACCGAUUGUAGACCCAUGAUCCGGUAUCAUCACAUAGCCUAUACCAUGUCAACGCCUUAUCCUUCAAAGAUAAAGGAAAGACCCUCUUAUUGACCUCAUCCUCGGGCACACCUGCAAGCUUAAAUAAACCACAAACUGUUGGAAUUAUGCCCUAGAGGCAAUGAUAAAUAAGUUAUUAUUAUAAUUCCUGUAUCAAGAUAAUCGUUUAUUAUCCAUGCUAUAAUUGUAUUGAAUGAAGACUUAGAUACGUGUGUGGAUACAUUGACAAAACACUGUCCCUAGCAAGCCUCUAGUUGGCUAGCCAGUUGAUCAAGGAUAAUUGUUGCUUGAUAACUGGAUCACAUCAUUGGGUGAAUCAUGUGAUGGACUAGACCCAAACUAAUAGACGUAGCAUGUUGGUCGUGUCAUUUUGUUGCUACUGUUUUCUGCGUGUCAAGUAUUUAUUCCUAUGACCAUGAGAUCAUAUAACUCACUGACACCGGAGGAAUGCUUUUUGUGUAUCAAACGUCACAACGUAACUGGGUGACUAUAAAGAUGCUCUACAGGUAUCUCCGAAGGUGUCCGUUGAGUUAGUAUGGAUCAAGACUGGGAUUUGUCACUCCGUGUGACGGAGAGGUAUCUCGAGGCCCACUCGGUAAUACAACAUGACACACAAGCCUUGCAAGAAAAUGUAACUUAGUGUAAGUCACGGGAUCUUGUAUUACAGAACGAGUAAAGAGACUUGCCGGUAAACGAGAUUGAAAUAGGUAUGCGGAUACUGACGAUCGAAUCUCGGGCAAGUAACAUACCGAAGGACAAAGGGAAUGACAUACGGGAUUAUAUGAAUCCUUGGCACUAAGGUUCAAGCGAUAAGAUCUUCGUAGAAUAUGUAGGAUCCAAUAUGGGCAUCCAGGUCCCGCUGUGGGAUAUUGACUAGGAGUCCCUCGGGCCAUGUAUACAUAGUUCUCGAACCCACAGGGUCUGCACACUUAAGGUUCAGCGUUGUUUUAUGCGUAUUUGAGUUAUAUGGUUGGUUACCGAAUGUUGUUCAGAGUCCCGGAUGAGAUCACUGACAUCUCGAGGGUUUCUGGAAUGGUCUGGAGACGAAGAUUGAUAUAUAGGAUGACCUCAUUUGAUUACCGGAAAGUUUUCGGCAUUACCGGGAAUGUACCGGGAGUGACGAAUGGGUUCCGGAUGUGCACCGGGGGAGGGGGGGAGGGGGGCAGCCCACCCGGGGAAGCCCAUAGGCCUUAGGGGGUGCCGCACCAGCCCUUAGUGGGCUGGUGGGCAAGCCCAAGAAGGCCCCUACGCAGGUUAAGAGAAAAUCAAAGAGUAAAGAAAAAAUGGGGAAGUGGGAAGGAAGGGAAGGACUCCACCUUCCAAUCCUAGUUGGACUAGGAUGGGAGGAGGAUUCCUCCUCCCCCCUUUGGCCGACCCCCUUGGGGCUCGUUGAGCCUCAAGGCAAGGCCCCUCCCCUCCCUCCUAUAUAUACGGAGGUAUUAGGGAUGAUUUGAGGCAACUUUGCCAUGCCAGCCCGACCACAUACCUCCAUGGUUUUUCCUCUAGAUCGCGUUUCUGUGAAGCUCGGGCGGAGCCCUCCUGAGAUUAGAUCACCACCAACCUCCGGAGCGCCGUCAUGCUGCUGGAGAACUCAUCUACCUCUCCAUCUCUCUUGCUAGAUAAAGAAGGCCGAGAUCAUCAUCGAGCUGUACGUGUGCUGAACGCGGAGGUGCCGUCCGUUCGACACUAGAUCGGAGCAGAUCGUGGGACGAUUCGUGGGACGGUUCGUUGGGCGGAUCGAGGGACGUGAGGACGUUCCACUACAUCAGCCACGUUUAUUAAUGCUUCUGCUGUGCGAUCUGCAAGGGUACAUAGAUCGGAAAUCCCGUGUCAUAGAUGGACAUCACCAUGAUAGGUCUUCGUGCACGUAGGAAUUUUUUUGUUUCCCAUGCGACGUUCCCCAACAAUGGCAUCAUGAGCUAGGUUCAUGCGUAGAUGUCAUCUUGAGUAGAAUACAAAAGUUUUUGUGGGCGGUGAUGUGCGAUUUGCUGCCCUCCUUAGUCUUUUCUUGAUUCCGUGGUAUUGUUGUAUCAAAGCAGCACAGACCGACAUUACUCGUACGCUUACGAGAGACUGGUUUCAUCGCUACGAGCAACCCCGUUGCUCAAAGAUGACUGGCGAGUGUUGGUUUCUCCAACUUUAGUUGAAUCGGAUUUGACCUAGGAGGUCCUUGGAUGAGGUUAAAUAGUAAUUCAUAUAUCUCCGUUGUGGUGUUUGCGUAAGUAAGAUGUGAUCCUACUAGAUACCCAUGGUCACCAUGUAAAACAUGCAACAACAAUUAGAGGACGUCUAACUUGUUUUUGCAGGGUAUGCUUGUGAUGUGAUAUGGCCAACGAUGUGAUGUGAUAUAUUGGAUGUUUGAGAUGAUCAUGUUGUAAUAGUUAAUAUCGACUUGCACGUUGAUGGUACGACAACCGACAGGAGCCAUAGGGUUGUCUUUAAACUAAUGUUUGUGCCUGCAGAUGCGUUUACUAUAUUGCUAGGAUGUAGCUUUAGUAGUAAUAGCAUGAGUAGCACGACAACCCCGAUGGCGACACAUUGAUGGAGAUCAUGGUGUGGCGCCGGUGACAGAAGAUCGUGUCGGUGCUUUGGUGAUGGAGAUCAAGAAGCACGUGAUGAUGGCCAUAUCAUGUCACUUAUGAAUUGCAUGUGAUGUUAAUCCUUUUAUGCACCUUAUUUUGCUUAGAACGACGGUAGCAUUAUGAGGUGAUCUCUCACUAAAAUUUCAACACGAAAUUGUGUUCUCCCCGACUGUGCACCGUUGCUACAGUUCAUCGUUUCGAGACACCACGUGAUGAUCGGGUGUGAUAGACUCAACGUUCACAUACACCGGGUGCAAAACAGUUGCACACACGGAACACUCGGGUUAAGAUUGACGAGCCUAGCAUGUGUAGACAUGGCCUCAGAACACAUGAGACCGAAAGGUCGACCAUGAAUCAUAUAGUUGAUAUGAUUAGCAUAGGGAUGCUUACCACUGAAACUAUCCUCAACUCACGUGAUGAUCGGACUUGAGCUAGUGGGAUUGGAUCAUGAACCACUCAAAUGACUAGAGAGAUGUACUUUUUGAGUGGGAGUUUAGCAACUAAUUUGAUUAAGUUAAACUAUAAUUAUCUUGAACAUAGUCUAAGUCCACUUUGAAUAUAUUUUUGUUGUAGAUCAAUGGCUCACGCGACAGUCACUCUGAAUUUUAAUACGUUCCUAGAGAAAGCUAAGUUGAAAGAUGAUGGAAGCAACUUUGUAGACUGGGCUCGUAAUCUUAAGUUUCUCCUGCAAGCUAGGAAGAAGGAUUAUGUCCUUAAUGCUGAGCUAGGAGAUGAACCACCCCCUACGGGUGACCAAGAUGUUAAGAACACUUUGUUAACACGUAAGGAGGACUACUCAAUAGUUCAAUGUGCAGUCUUGUAUGGCUUAGCACCGGGACUUCAACGUCGCUUUGAGUGUCAUGGAGCAUAUGAGAUGUCCCAGGAGUUGAAGUUUAUCUUUCAGAAGAACGCCCGGAUCGAGAGGUAUGAGACCUCCGAUAAAUUCUAUGCUUGCAAGAUGGAGGAGAAUUCGUCUGUCAGUGAACAUGUGCUCAAAAUGUCUGGGUACUCAAACCGUCUAGCUGAGCUGGGGAUUGAACUCCCACAAGAGGCUAUCACUGACGGAAUUCUUCAAUCACUGCCGCCAAGCUAUAAGGGCUUUUUGUUGAGCUAUAACAUGCAAGGGAUGAACAAGUCACCCGGCAAGUUAUUCGCGAUGCUGAAAGUCGCAGAGUCAGAACUUCGCAAAGAGCAUCAAGUGUUGAUGGUGAAUAAGACCACUAGUUUCAAGAGAAAGGGCAAAGGAAAGAAGGGUAAUUCGAAGAAGAGCGGCAAGCCUGUUGCCAAUCCGAUGAAGAAACCCAAAGAUGGACCUAAGCCUGAAACGGAGUGCUAUUAUUGCAAGGGUAUGGGUCACUAGAAGCACAACUGCCCCAAGUAUCUGGCUGAUAAGAAGGCGGCCAAAGAAAAAUCAGGUAUAUUUGAUAUACAUGUUAUUGAUGUGUACUUAAGGAGCUCUCGUAGUAGUGCGUGGGUAUUCGAUACCGGUUCUGUUGCUCAUAUUUGCAACUCAAAACAGGAACUGCGGAAGAAGCGAAGGCUGGCGAAUGAUGAAGUGACGAUGCACGUGGGAAAUGGUUCCAAGGUUGAUGCAAUCGCCGUCUGCACAAUUUCACUUCAGUUACCAUUAGGAUUAGCUAUGAACUUAAGUAAUUGUUAUUUAGUGCCUGUGUUAAGCAUGACCAUUAUAUCUGGAUCUUGUUUAUUGCAAGACGGUUACUCGUUUAAGUUAGAGAAUAAUGGUUGUUCUAUUUCUAUGAGUAAUAUCUUUUAUUGUCAUGCACCCAAUGUGAGAGGAUUGUUCAUAUUGAAUCUUGGUAGUGAUAAUACUCAUAUACAUAACAUUGAGACCAAAAGAGUUAGAGUUAACAAUGAUAGCGCCAUGUUUUUAUGGCACUGCCGCUUAGGUCAUAUUGGUGUAAAGCGCAUGAAGAAACUCCAUACCGAUGGACUUUUGGAGUCACUUGACUUUGAUUCACUUAACACGUGCGAACCAUGCCUCAUGGGCAAGAUGACUAAAACUCCGUUCUCCGGAACAAUGGAGCAUGCAAGUGACUUGUUGGAAAUCAUACAUACCGAUGUGUGUGCUCCGAUGAGUGUGGAGCUACGCGGCGGAUAUCGUUAUUUUCUCACCUUCACUGACGAUUUGAGUAGAUAUGGUUAUGUCUACUUGAUGAAGCACAAGUCUAAAACAUUUGAAAAUUUCAAGCAAUUCCAGAGUGAAGUUGAAAAUCAUCGUAACAAGAAGAUCAAGUUCCUACGGUCUGAUCUUGGGGGUGAAUAUCUGAGUUUCGAGUUUGGUGAUCACUUAAGACAAUGUGGAAUUGUUUCACAGUUGACACCGUCUCGAACACCACAUCAUAAUGGUGUGUCCGAACGUCGUAAUCAUACUUUAUUAGAGAUGGUGCGAUAUAUGAUGUCUCUUACCGAUUUGCCGUUAUCAUUUUGGGGUUAUGCAUUAGAAACAGCUGCAUUCACUUUAAAUAGGUCCUACUGCAACAAAAGACCUUCCAACGGCGCCAGAAAUAGGCGUGUUGUUGGGAGACUAUUCUUGUCUUGAUACUCCUCGUCAACGGCACUAGGAAUCCUUCUGCUAUGGCUACGCCUUAAGGGACUUCUUUGGCAAAUAUGCAAAGGAUUCCCCCGCGGCCUUGGGGCCUUGCGUUGGUGUUCCCUCGAAGCGGAAAGGUGAUGUAGCACAGCGGCGGUAAGUAUUUCCCUCAGUUUUGAGAACCAAGGUAUCGAUCCAGUGGGAGGAUCGCGUCAAGUCACAAGUACCUACACAAACACAAAGAGCUUGCACCCAACGCUAUGAAGGGGUUGUAAAUCCCUUAUAGAUUGUUUGCAAAGUGAGAACUGAAAGCAAAAAGUAAACAAAGCAAAGUAAAAGUGAAAGUGGAGACGAUAGUUGUGAAUAGACCCGGGGGCCGUAGUGUUCACUAGUGGCUUUCUCUCAUGAAAGCAAGUAGACGGUGGGUGAACGAAUUACUGUGGAGCAAUUGCGACAGCCUGAAGAAUUUGCGUAGCAAUCAGCAGAGAAAAGAAUCAACUCAAAAUCUCUUACAGAAAAAAAUGAAAAUUCUUUUCGUGAUAAGAAAGUUUCUGUCUUUUCCACAAUGACCAAACGAUCAUGCCCAAGACUAAUCAUAAUGGUUUCACUUGGCACAAACGCAAAAGAAACACAAAAAACACAAUCAUAACAGAAUUAUGAAAGUGUGGAAAACACAAAACAGAAAUAAAAAGGAUAGAUUCGUUGGGUUGCCUCCCAACAAGCGCUAUUGUUUAACGUCCUUAGCUAGGCAAAAGGUGAUGGAAUCACGUAUAGUCAUCUUUGGUGCUCAAACCAUAAGUAGCCCUCAUCAUAGAUUCAUAAGGCAAUCUUAUUUUAUUUCUAGGAAAAUGUUACAUGCCCUUCUUUAGAGGAAAUUGAAAUCUAAUAUUCCCUUCCUUCAUAUCGAUGACAGCACCAAUAGUCCUUAGGAAAGGUCUACCAAUAAUAAUGGGAUAUGAAGGAUUGCAAUCUAUGUCAAGUCCAAUGAAAUCCACGGGUAUAUAGUUCUUAUUUGGAACAAUAAGAACAUCAUCGAUCCUUCCCAUGGGUUUCUUGACAGUAGAAUCCGCAAGAUGCAAAUUAAGAGAACACUCUUCAAUCUCAUGAAAACUAAGAAUAUCACAUAAAGACUUUGGAAUCGCGGAAACACUAGCACCCAAAUCACACAAAGCAUUGCAUUCAUAGUUUUUGAUUUUGAUUUUGAUAGUAGGUUCCCACUCAUCAUGAAGUUUUCUAGGUAUAGAGACUUCUAGUUCGAGCUUCUAUUCAAGAGGUUUCAUCAUACCAUCUACGAUAUGUGCGGUAAAGGCUUUGCUUUGGUUAUAAGCAUGUGGAGAAUUUGCAAUGGAUUGCAUCAAAGAAAUGCAUUCAAACAAGGAGCAACUAUCAUAAUUGAAUUCNNNNNNNNNNNNNNNNNNNNNNNNNNNNNNNNNNNNNNNNNNNNNNNNNNNNNNNNNNNNNNNNNNNNNNNNNNNNNNNNNNNNNNNNNNNNNNNNNNNNGAAGUCCAAGAAGGGUAACGAUGCCAUCUUCGUCGUCAUCGACAAGUUGAGUAAAGUGGCUCAUUUUCUUCCAGUCAAGGAAUCCAUCUCCGUAGCUCAGCUUGCAGAGCUGUACACAUCCAGGAUAGUGUCUUUGCACGGCGUGCCUAUGAUGAUUUCUUCAGAUCGUGGAAGUAUCUUCACUUCCAAGUUUUGGGACUCUUUUCAGUCUGCGAUGGGCACGAAGAUACGCUUCAGCACAACUUUUCAUCCUCAGACUAGUGGUUAAAUGGAGAGAGUCAAUCAUGUCCUUGAGGAUAUGCUGAGAGCCUGUGUUAUCUCUUUUGGCAUGAAGUGGGAAGACUGCCUGCCUUUCGCUGAAUUCUCAUAUAACAACAGUUAUCAAGCUAGUUCAGGCAAAGCUCCGUUUGAAUUCUCUAUGGCAGGAAGUGCCGUACCCCGCUCAACUGGUCCGAGACCGGCGAUCGUCAGAUUCUUGGGAAUGACUUGAUAGAAGAAGCUGAAGAGAUGUGUCGGGUCAUUCGGGAUAAUCUCAAAGCAGCGCUGUCCCGUGAGAAGAGCUAUUAUGAGAGCAAGCAUCGUGACAUGUCCUAUGAGCUCGAUGACUUCGUCUAUCUCAAGGUCUCCCCUAUGAAGGGUACACAGUGCUUUGCAUCAAAGGCAAGCUUCUUUUCGUGGGUCCUUACAUAAUUGUUGGCCGUGACUUGACGAGGUCCUCGCCGUCGAUGUCGUGCCCCUGCGUCCUCUCCAACCCUUCGGCAAGCACGCGGAACCUCCAGGGGACCCGUUCCCGCAGCUAGGAGGAGCAGAUCUGCACUGCUACCCCUACUUCGACGGCGUCUUCUUCCUCUCCGACGAUACCCUCCGCCGCGGCUUCUUCCACUCCUUCCUCUACUUCCUCUCCGACAGGCUCGACGUCCUCGUCCGGUGGGUGAGCCCAAGUCUUCCUUCCCCCUUCCUAUCGGUAGAUCCAGCGCAUAGGGUCGUAGCUUCGCCGCCGAGGAUGUCUCUGUCGCCGGCGCCGCCGCGUGUCGUCGAGCCGUAGGUAUAGGCCUCCUCGUGGAGAGUUAGCUAGCGGAAUGGAACCAUGGGAGCCUCUUCUCCCUUCCAUCGACGAGCCGUGAUACGUCUCAAACGUAUCUAUAAUUUUUUAUGGUUUCAUGCUGUUAUCUUGUCAUCCUUGGAUGUUUUAUGUACCUUUUAUAUCUUUUUUGGGACUAACUUAUUAAUUCAGUGCCAAGUGCCAGUUCCUGUUUUUUUCUGUGUUUUUGGCUCUUUUCAGAUCUGAUUUUGGAACGGAUUCCAAACGGAAUAAAAUCCCCGAAAUAAAAUUUUCCCGAACGGAAGAAGAUCAGGGGGCUUGAGGGCCAAGCCAGGAGGGCUACAGGGGGCCCACAAGCCCCCCAUCCGCCACCAGGGGGCGGCGGAUGGAAGGCUUGUUGCCUCCCUGGCGCCCCCUAACCUAACUCCUUCGCCUAUAUAUUCCCUAAAAUACAGAAAAAAAAUCAAGGGAUCCACGAAAAUACUUUUCCGCCGCCGCAAGCUUCCGUUUCCGCGAGAUCUCAUCUGGAGACCCUUCCCAGUGCCUUUUAUAUCUUUUUUGGGACUAACUUAUUAAUUCAGUGCCAAGUGUCAGUUCCUGUUUUUUCUAUGUUUUUGUCUCUUUUCAGAUCUGAUUUUGGAACGGAGUCAAAAUGGAAUAAAAUCCCCGAAAUAAUUUUUUCUAGAACGGAAGAAGAUCAGGAGACUUGAGGGCCAAGGCAGGAGAGCCACAGGGGGCCCACAAGCCCUGUAGCCGCCACCAGGGGGCGGCGGCUACCAGGCUUGUGGCCUCCCUGACGCCCCGUGACCUAGCUCCUUCGCCUAUAUAUUCCCUAAAAAUACAGAAAAACAGGGGAAUCCACGAAAACACUUUUCCGCCGCCGCGAGCUUCCAUUUCUGCGAGAUCUCAUUUGGAGACCCUUCCCGGUGCCCUGCCGGAGGGGACUUUGGAGUUGGAGGGCUUCUACAUGAACAUCAUCGCCCCUCCAAUGAGUCGUGAGUAGUUCACUUCAGACCUACGGGUACAUAGUUAUUNNNNNNNNNNNNNNNNNNNNNNNNNNNNNNNNNNNNNNNNNNNNNNNNNNNNNNNNNNNNNNNNNNNNNNNNNNNNNNNNNNNNNNNNNNNNNNNNNNNNAAUGGGCCUAUCCUGAGAUAUGUGUGCUUCUAGCAAAAWAUGCUUCAACCCAAACAAAUCAGACAUUUUCAAUAGUAAAAUAGGUAUUGGGCCAGGCCCAUGUAGGCUAGAUUGCUGGACAGGGAUCUGAAAUUAAUGAUGAUUCCAUUUGGUCACUAGCAAUGCCACGUCAGAUCCUACGUGGCUCGCACAAAUGGGUAAUGACCAAAGCAAAAUUUUUGGUCGAUAGAGACCUAUGACCAAAAUUUUUAAAAGGUCAAGUUUGUUCAUUCUUGACGGCCAACUGUUGACGUUGUAAAUUUGGUCAAAAAAGUCAAUAAACGUCAACAAUGACGAAUCAAUGACCAAUAUAGGGAGUCAUAAUUGACCUUAUUUCUUGUAGUGUUGCUUGAAGUAUUAUUGUUUUCCACGUCAAUAGGAAACUAUUGUUUUGAAUCCAAUGGAUCUGAACAUUCACGUCACAUAAGAGGAGUUACAAAGGACAUCUAUGCUAGGUAGUAUGAAAGCAUCAAAAAUUCAUUCUUUAUCACUUCCCUACUCGAGGACGGGCAGGAGUUAAGCUUGGGGAUGCUUGAUACAUCUCAAACGUAUCUAUAAUUUUUGAUGGUUUCAUGUUGUUAUCUUGUCAUCCUCAGAUGUUUUAUGUACCUUUUAUAUCUUUUUGGGACUAACUUAUUAAUUCAGUGCCAAGUGCCAGUUCCUGUUUUCUGUGUUUUGGCUCUUUUAGAUCUGAUUUUGGAACGGAGUCCAAGCGGAAUAAAAUCCCAGAAAUAAAUUUUCCCGAACGGAAGAAGAUCAGGGGGCUUGAGGGCCAAGCCAGGAGGGCUACAGGGGGCCCACAAGCCCCCCAUCCGCCACUAAGGGGGCGGCGGAUGGCAGGCUUGUGGCCUCCCUGGCGCCCCCCUCGACCUAACUCCUUCGCCUAUAUAUUCCCUAAAACACACACAAAAAUACAGGGAUCCACGAAAAUAACUUUCCGCCGCCGCAAGCUUCCGUUUCCGCGAGAUCUCAUUUGGAGACACUUCCCGGUGCCCCGNNNNNNNNNNNNNNNNNNNNNNNNNNNNNNNNNNNNNNNNNNNNNNNNNNNNNNNNNNNNNNNNNNNNNNNNNNNNNNNNNNNNNNNNNNNNNNNNNNNNGCAUGCAAGCUUGUGGGCUCCCUGACGGCCCACUACCCCCUCUUUUGCUAUAUGAAGGGUUUCGUUCCAGAAAAAAUCAAUCGGGAGCUUUUUCGUGGUUUCGCCGCCGCCACGAGGCGGAACUUGAGCAGAUCCAAUCUAGAGCUCCGGCACGACGAUGCUGCCGGGGAAACUUCCCUCCCGGAGGGGGAAAUCAUCGCCAUCGUCAUCACCAACACUCCUCUCGUCGGAGGGGAGGCAUCUUCAUCAACACCAUCUCCUCUCCAAUCUCUAGUUCAUCUCUUGUAACCAAUCUCCGUCUCACGACUCCGAUUGGUACUUGUAAGGUUACUAGUAGUGUUGAUUACUCUUUGUAGUUGAUGCUAGUUGGAUUACAUGGUGGAAGAGUUUAUGUUCAGAUCCUUGAUGCUAUUCAUUACACCUAUGAUCAUGAUUAUGAUUAUGCUUUGUGAGUAGUUACUUUUGUUCCUGAGGACAUGGGAUAAGUCAUGCUGAUAAUAGUCAUGUGAAUUUGAUAUUCGUUCGGUAUUUUGAUAUGCUGUUUGUUGUCUUUUCCUCUAGUGGUGUUAUGUGAACGUCGACUACAUAACACUUCACCAUAUUUGGGCCUAGAGGAAUGCAUUGGGGAGUAGUAAGUAGAUGAUGGGUUGCUGGAGUGACAGAAGCUUAAACCCGAGUCUAUGCAUUGCUUCGUAAGGGGCUGAUUUGGAUCCACUAGUUUAAUGCUAUGGUUAGACGUUGUCUUAAUUCUUCUUUUGUAUUUGAGGAUGCUUCUGAGAGGGGUUAAUGAUAAGUGGGAUGCUUGUCCAAGUAAGGGCAGUACCCAAGCGCUGGUCCACCCACAUAUCAAACUAUCAAAGUAACGAACGCGAAUCAUAUGAACAUGAUGAAACUAGCAUGACAAAAAUUCCCGUGUGUCCUCGGGAGCGUUUUUCCUCCUAUAAGACUUUGUUCAGGCUUGUCCCUUGCUACAAAAGGGAUUGGGACACUUGUUGCACUGUUGCUACUACUUGUUACUUGUUACUUUUCGCUUGAUACGUUUCACCUCACUACACCAUCACUUGUUACCGCUACUUUUAGUGCCUGCAGUUAUUACCUUGCUGAAAACCGUUUAUUAGAGCCUUCUGCUCCUCGUUGGGUUCGACACUCUUACUUAUCGAAAGGACUAUGAUUGAUCCCGUAUACUUGUGGGUCAUCAGCCCCCUGUGGCUCUCUUGCCUUGGCCCUCAAGUCCCCUGAUCUUCUUUCGUUCUGGAAAAAUUUAUUUCGGGGAUUUUAUUCCCUUUGGACUCCGUUCCAAAAUCAGAUCUGAAAAGAGUGAAAAACACACAAAAAACAGGAACUGGCACUUCGCUGAAUUAAUAAGUUAGUCCCAAAAAAGAUAUAAAAGGUAUGUAAAACAUCCAAAGAUGACAAGAUAACAACAUGAAACCAUAAACAAUUAUAGAUACGUUUGAGACGUAUCAAGCAUCCCCAAGCCUAACUCCUGCUCGUCCUCGAGUAGGGAAGUGAUAAAGAAUGAAUUUUUGAUGCUUUCAUGCUACCUAGCAUAGAUGUCCUUUGUAACUCCUAUUAUGUGACGUGAAUGUUCAGAUCCAUUGGAUUCAAAACAAUAGUUUGCUAUUGACGUGGAAACAAUAAUACUUCAAGCAAACUAGCAAGGUAAUCAUGAACUUUCAAAAUAACAAGGCCAAAAGAAAGUUAUCCCUACAAAAGCAUAUAGUCUGGCUAUGAUCUAUCAUCCUUGCACAACUAAUUUAAAUCAUGCACAACCCCGGUAUUGGCCAAGUAAUUGUUUUCACACCUUUACUUUCUCAAACCUUUUCAACUGUCACGCAAUACAUGGUUUUAGCACUAUAAGUGGUGUGAAGUGUGGUGGAGAUUGCAAGACAAACAAGGAGAAGAUGGUCACAUUAACUAGGCAUAUCAAUGAGCUGUGGAGAUUCUCAUCAAUAGAUAUCAAUGUGAAUGAGUAGGGAUUGCGAUACAAAUGAUGCACUAGAGCUAAGAGUAUGUGAAAGCUCUUAAAGAAAACUAGUGGGUGUGCAUCCAACUUGCUUUCUCACGAAGACCUAAGGCAAAUUUUAGGAAUCCUAUCAUUGGAAUAUACAAGCCAAGUUAGAUAAUAAAAAUUUCCCACUAGCUACAUGGUGGUGACAAAAUGAGAGACUCUCAAUCAUGAAGAUCAUGGUGCUUAAUAAGCACAAGUGUGGAAGGAUAGUAGCAUUGUCCCUUCCCUCUUUUUCUCUCAUUUUUUUGUGGGCCCUUUGGCCUAUUUUUUUUGGUGGGCAUCUUUGGCCUCUUUUUGUAUAUGGGCUUCACUGGCCUCUUUUAUUUCCUCACAUGGGAUAAUGCUCCAUCAAUGAUGAUCAUCACACUUACAACUCAAAACUUAGAACAAUGAUGACUCUAUAUGGAAUGCCUUCGGUAGUGUACCGUGACAAUGAUCUAGCAUGGCAUAGACAUUAAGGGAAACAUCAUGCUAGCUAUCUUACGAUCAUGCAAUGGCAAUGUAGACGUGGUGGAACAUGUCAUGGUGGUAGUUGCAUGGCAAUAUAUCUCGGAAUGACUUUGAAAAAGCCAUAGUAGGUAGGUAUGGUGGCUGUUUUGAGGGAGGCUAAUGGUGGGUUCUGUGCACCGGCGAAAGUUACACGGCACUAAGAAGAUAGUGAUGGUGGAAGGUGAAAGUGCAUCUAAACCAUGGGCUCAACAUUAAUCAUGAAGAACUCAUAUACUUGUUGUGAAAGUUUUAGUAGUAAUCGAAACAAAGCGCAUACUCCUAGGGGAAGGGUUGGUAGGUAUAAACCAUCGCGCGAUCCCGACCGCCACACAAAGGAUGACAAUCAAUAGACUAAUCAUGCUCAGACUUCAUCACAUAGAGGUUCACCAUACGUGCAUGCUACGGGAAUCACUAACUUCAACACAAGUAUUUCUAGAUCCACAACACCUUACUAGCAUAACUUUAAUAUUACCACAACCACAACUCAAAACUAAUUGAGAUGAAUCAAACUUCUCUAACUAUUCAAUGCACAUGAAGGUGGAAGUUUUCAUAUCCCUUUGGAUAACUACCCCUUUUUGAGACUACUUUCAUAGCAUCGAUCAACUACCAAGCCACGCGCUUCCGUGCUCUAAAAUAUAAAAGUGAAGCACAUAGAGCAAAAUUAACUAGCUCAAAAGAUAUAAGUGAAGCACAUGUGAGCUGAAUUGUCUACCAAAGGAUAUAAGUGAAGCUCGACAAAAUCACGGUAAGUGCAUGUAUCUCUCUCUAGGUGACACAGCAAUAAUAAAAGACUCCUACGAUACAAGACGCUCCAAGAAAAACACAUAACAUGUGGUGAAUAAAAAUAUAGCCCCAAGUAACGUUACCGAUGGAUUGAAGACGAAAGAGGGGAUGCCUUCCCGGGGCAUCCCAAGCUUAGGCUUUUACGGCAUCCUUGAAUCAUCUUGGGGUGCCUUGGGCAUCCCCAAGCUUGAGCUCUUGCCACUCUUUAUCUCUUUGUCCAUAAGAACUUCACCCAAAACUUGAAAACUUCACAACACGAAAGUUAAACAGAAACUCGUCAUAACAUUAGUAUAAGAAAGCAAACCACCACUUCAUUAGUUACUGUAGCAAACUUAAAUUCUACUUAUGUUGAUGUUGGGUUACUGUAUUUUCAAUCUUCCAUGGCUAAUACCCCCGAUACUAUCCAUAGUUUCAUCAAAAUAAGCAACCAACUCAACAAAAACAGAAUCUGUUAACAGCAGACCAGUCUGUAGCAAUCUGUAUACUUCGUAUACUUCUGGUACUUCAAAUAUCUGAAAAAUUCCGAAACUCUGAAGAAUUUGCGUAGCAAUGAGCAGCAAAAAGAAUCAACUCAAAAGCUCUUACAGAAAAAAAAAUGAAAAUUCUUUUCGUGAGCAGAAAGUUUUUGUCUUUUCCAGCAUGACCAAACGAUCAUCUCCAAGACUAAUCAUAACGGUUUUGCUUGGCACAAACGCAAAAAGAAACACAAAAAACACAAUCAUAACGGAAUUAUGAAAGUGUGGAAAACACAAAACAGAAAGAAAAAGGAUAGAUUCGUUGGGUUGCCUCCCAACAAGCGCUAUUGUUUAACGCCCUUAGCUAGGCAAAAGGUGAUGGAAUCACGUAUAGUCAUCUUUGGUGCUCAAACCAUAAGUAGCCCUCAUCAUAGAUUCAUAAGGCAAUCUUAUUUUCUUUCUAGGAAAUUUCUCCAUGCCCUUCUUUAGAGGAAAUUGAAAUCUAAUAUUCCCUUCCAUCAUAUCUAUGAUAGCACCAAUAGUCCUUAGGAAAGGUCUACCAAGAAUAAUGGGACAUGAAGGAUUGCAAUCUAUGUCAAGUACAAUGAAAUCCACGGGUACAUAGUUCUUAUUUGCAACAAUAAGAACAUCAUCGAUCCUUCCCAUGGGUUUCUUGACAGUAGAAUCCGUAAGAUGCAAAUUAAUAGAACACUCUUCAAUCUCAUGAAAACCAAGAAUAUCACAUAAAGACUUUGGAAUCGCGGAAACACUAGCACCCAAAUCACACAAAGCAUUGCACUCAUAGUUUUUGAUUUUGAUUUUGAUAGUAGGUUCCCACUCAUCAUGAAGUUUUCUAGGUAUAGAGACUUCUAAUUCGAGCUUCUCUUCAAGAGAUUUCAUCAUAGCAUCUACGAUAUGUGCGGUAAAGGCUUUGCUUUGGCUAUAAGCAUGUGGAGAGUUUGCAAUGGAUUGCAUCAAAGAGAUGCAUUCAAACAAGGAGCAACUAUCAUAAUUGAAUUCCUUGAAAUCCAAAGUGGGAGUUUCAUUACUAUCCAAAAUUUUGAUUUCUUCUACUCCACUCUCCACACCUUUAUCAUCAAGAUAGGUGGACUCUGAAUCAUUGGGGCAUUUUUCAACCAAAGUGGAUUCAUAUCCAGCCCCUUCAUCAAUAGGUUUGACACGCGAAAACAAAGAUUCAAGAGGAGUCACACCAAGCACUUUAAGAUAUUCGUGAUUUGCAUCACAAAUUUCAGGUUUAGCUGCCAUCUUAUUGACUAAGGUAGCCUGCUUGUCAGAAAUUUGGCCCACCAAUUUUUCAAGGUGAGCAAGCUGAGAAUUUAUUGCAAUGAAUUCUUUGGCCAUAUCAUCAACUUCGUUAUUCAAACAGGCCAUAAAAGAAUUUUCCUCCUUUAAUUCCCUACGGAAGUAACUAUUUUGGUCAAACUGAGAAGACAUGAAACCUUUAACACUAGUUUCAAUCUCUUCCAACCUUCUGAAAUAGCUUGGUUUGGCCAUGAGGAAAGAUCUCUCACAAACAAGCCUAAGACCAAGCGAGGAAAACAGGCAAAGGAAAACGACAAAAAGGCAAAAGGCAAAAGAAAACGGCAAAUGUGAAGUGGGGGAGAGGAAAACGAGAGGCAACUGGCAAAAAAAAGUAAAUGCAAGAGAUGAGUUUGUGAGACCUACUUGGAUAGAUCUCUCCUUCCCCGGCAACGGCGCCAGAAAUACUUCUGCUACUGUAACAAAAGACCUUCCAACGGCGCCAGAAACAAGCUUGCUGACGGGAGAUUAUUCUUGUCUUGAUACUCCUCAGCAAGGGCACCAGGAAUCCUUCUGCUACGGCUACGCCUUUCGGCACUUCCUUGGCAAAUAUGCAAAGGAUUCCCCCUUGACCUUGGAGCCUUGCGUUGGUGUUCCCNNNNNNNNNNNNNNNNNNNNNNNNNNNNNNNNNNNNNNNNNNNNNNNNNNNNNNNNNNNNNNNNNNNNNNNNNNNNNNNNNNNNNNNNNNNNNNNNNNNNAAGAGCAUCCUACCUAACCAUACUGAUGCAAAACAUCCUAUAGACAUCACCAUGUCAAGAGUCCUUUUGUCAAGAAACAUGCACAACAUCUAAUUCAAAAAAAUAUAAAGGUGAAUCUUUUCCUUUACAUGUGCCUUCUUUCCCCUUCGAGGAUGAUAUAUACCACUUGAUCCUUCCCUUGUGUGCAUGCAUGGGUUUGAGCGGAGCUCCACACACAGGGAUGAAAAAUUCAAGAGCAAGAGAACAUCUACACCAUCCAAGAGGGAAGCAUGGAAGCGGUGAAGGAAUUGAGAAGACCAUCGGAUGAAGCUCCCUAAACACCCCGGGUGCCCAGACUUUGGGCGCCAACCCCUCGACGCCACGGGUGCGUGAAACCCUUUACCCCGGGUUCCCGGACUUCCGUGUGUGCAUGUAUUGGGAUUGGCCCAUGUAUAUUUCACAUUUCACCCUCACUUGUCUCAUCAUGCCUUGGACCUAUAUAUACUCCUUCCCCUCCUCAUUUCUAGGAUUAGCUAAGAAUAGAUAGCAUAUGUAUCUCCUCUUGAGAGAGAGAGAGAGAGAGAGAGAGGAGGGAGGGAGGGAGGAGGAGGAGAGAGAAGUAGUGAGAGAGAGRRGGAGGAGAGAGGAGGAGGAGGAGAGAGAGAGAGAGAGAGAGAGAGAGGAGGNNNNNNNNNNNNNNNNNNNNNNNNNNNNNNNNNNNNNNNNNNNNNNNNNNNNNNNNNNNNNNNNNNNNNNNNNNNNNNNNNNNNNNNNNNNNNNNNNNNNGUAUUAUUGUUUCCACGUCAAUAGGAAACUAUUGUUUUGAAUCCAAUGGAUCUGAACAUUCACGUCACAUAAGAGGAGUUACAAAGGACAUCUAUGCUAGGUAGUAUGAAAGCAUCAAAAAUUCAUUCUUUAUCACUUCCCUACUCGAGGACGGGCAGGAGUUAAGCUUGGGGAUGCUUGAUACAUCUCAAACGUAUCUAUAAUUUUUGAUGGUUUCAUGUUGUUAUCUUGUCAUCCUCAGAUUGUUUAUUGUACCUUUUAUAUCUUUUUUGGGUACUAACUUAUUAAUUCAGUGCCAAGUGCCAGUUCCUGUUUUUUUCUGUGUUUUUGGCUCUUUUUAGAUCUGAUUUUGGAACGGAGUCCAAGCGGAAUAAAAUCCCAGAAAUAAAUUUUUCCCGAACGGAAGAAGAUCAGGGGGCUUGAGGGCCAAGCCAGGAGGGCUACAGGGGGCCCACAAGCCCCCCAUCCGCCACUAAGGGGGCGGCGGAUGGCAGGCUUGUGGCCUCCCUGGCGCCCCCCUGACCUAACUCCUUCGCCUAUAUAUUCCCUAAAACACACACAAAAAUCAAGGGAUCCACGAAAAUACUUUWCCGCCGUCCGCAAGCUUCCGUUUCCGCGUAGAUCUCAUUUGGAGUACACUUCCCCGGUGCCCCCGGCCGGACGGGGGACCUUUUGGGAGUUUGGAGGGCUUCGUACAUCAACAUCAUCGCCCCUCCAACUGACUNNNNNNNNNNNNNNNNNNNNNNNNNNNNNNNNNNNNNNNNNNNNNNNNNNNNNNNNNNNNNNNNNNNNNNNNNNNNNNNNNNNNNNNNNNNNNNNNNNNNACUAGAAUUUUCUUACAGUUGUUGGUCUAGGUUACUUAAUAUGGUGAAUUUAGCUGUGUUUUCUCUUAUUUGUGUCGAUCAUCCCACGUCUUUUUGCACCGGGCAUCAUGUUCACAUCUGUUGCGUCCGUAUCAUAUGUUGUAUCUUAUUUUGUACCCAUUUCAAAUUUUUAUCAAUAAAAUGAUGCACAACUUUUGUGUAUUCGCGAGAAAAACUCUCAUGAACGUAUUGUUUUUCAACGGUGCGUUUUACAACAUGUCAUGGUCAUUUCGUGCUUAGCUUCCACAAAUUUAUUAGCUCUUCCAGCUGUUUACUCGGAUAAAGCUUUUCCAAAUUGCGAUGCAACUGUCUCUAGCGGAGACACUAAUCACGACACAUAUUAUAUAUUUCAUUUCAGUAUGUCUCGAGGAGGUCCUUUCCUGUCACGUUGCUUAUGCACUGCUUUCUGUCUCUUGAUUUGAGUUGGUAAAUGCGUAGACGUUAAGAGUGUUAACUUGACAAAAUGACAAAGGAGCACAUUUCUCAAGGUUUCGUUUGUAAAGGGCUCUUUGCUUUGUGGUGAUAGCAAAAUCCAUGAAUAUCGUUUGCCGAUAUAGUAGAUAUGUUACUCUCAUUGUGCUUCAACAUAUUUGUUUCUUACCUCGGACAGAUCUGAAAACCUUUUUUUCUUGUCAAAUCAUUAAUUUGUGUCAGAUUUCAAAAGAAACGACAAUGAUAUAUUACCAGUAAUACUUCCUGCAUAUGAUGUUUGAUGUUUGAUGCUGCCAUUGUGCUUUAAAGUUGUUAUGCAUCCAUUGCGCUUUUACCUUUCAGAAUAUUAUUUCUGACUGUUAUUCUUGUGUCCUUAACCACCAUCAGAUAUACACCAUUUUGAUAUAUUUGAAGUUAACAUUUUUCUUAAUCUAUUCUACACAUUGUUUUUUCACACUGAAAUAAUGUCAUGAUUUUCAAGAACCAGAUAGGAUCGAUGGGUCCUUGAAAGAGGUGUUUUGUAAUCCCUAGACACUAUUGGUUUCUAUAUUCUUGAUGACCCAUGACGACUUCACGUUCAUGAUAUGUGAUGCAGGGUACAGGCCCUAUGUAGCUCAAUCUUCAUGAAUUGAAGGUGGAUUUGAGGAAGAACACCAAGAACACAAGGGGGGGGACACAAGAAGAACACUCUAUUUAACAAGAUCCACACCAAGCACUCCUAAAAUCACAAGCAAUACAUGGGAUGCAUCAAGAUUCAAAAACAAUAAAGUCUCUCCCUCCCUCCCUCCUCUCUCUCUCUCUCUCUCUCUCUCUUAAUCCCACAAGAGGAGAUAUAUAUAUGAUAUCUAUUCUUAACUAAUCCUAGAAAUGAGGAGGGGGAGUAUUUAUAGGUCCAAGGCAUGAAGAGACAAGUGAGGGUGAAAUGUGAAAUAUACAUGGGCCAAUCCCAAUACAUGCACACACGUAAGUCCGGGAACCCGAGGUAAAGGGUUUCAGGCACCCGUGGUGUCUAGGGCUGGCGCCCAAAGUCUGGGCACCCGAGUGUUUAGGGAGCUUCAUCCGAUGGUCUUCUCAGUUCCUUCUCUGCUUCCAUGCUUCCCUCUUGGAUGGUGUAGAUGUUCUCUUGCUCUUGAACUUCUCAUCGUUAUGUGAGGAGCUCCGCUCAAACCCAUGCAUGCACACAAGGAAAGGGUCAAGUAGUCUAUAUCAUCCUGGAAGGGGAAAGAAGACACGUGUAAAGGAAUAUAUUCACCUUUAUAUUUUUUAAAGUACAUGUUGCGCAUGUCUCUUGAUAAAAUGACUCUUGACAUGGUGAUAUCUGUAGGAUGCUCCGCAUCAGUAUGGUUAGGUAGGAUGCUCUUAAGCCCAUGAAUGACAAUCUUGGAGUCAGCUUGGCAAACUUCCGUGUUCUAUCUAAGCUACCCUUCUUUUACUUGUUGGCAAUGUAGCUCUCACUUUGUUUUUUUUACUCCAUUCAUCUUUCUUUCAUUGUGCUUUCUUGAAAGUCUAGAUAGACAACAGUAUACAUUUAACUAGAGUGCCAUGUUCAAAAAAUGUAUUGUAUUUGGUAUGCUCUAGAAUUAGAAUCUUAUAUUUUAGUUAAUGAAAAGCCCCACUUUUAAAAUGUAGGACAACACAACUUCAAUCUGUUCUUCUCUCACAAUUGGAUAUCUUGCAAGUUUGGGUGAGAGAAUUUCAUGGCACCACAAAGAGCCCUCGAGAAGAGUCAUUUUGUUGGUUGUGUGACUGGAGUUAUGGAGCUGGAAAUGUUUUCUAUGCCGACAUUAUGUGGUCGUUGUGGAAACUAAGAAAUGAUUUUUUUUAAACAAAUGGCCGUGGUCUUGAUUACAAGUACUCUGGGAGAGAGGCGGACAGCACAAGCACACCCAAAAGAAAGUACAAGAGAAAAUAAGAGAAAAAAUGCCAACAACGCCGGAUCGACGAAAGCUACGACACCCCGCGAUCGUUGUGCCCACCGAAGAUAACCACCACGCUUCAAAGCCAUCGAGUUGUCGUGUACCAAGCACCACCUUCAAGAAGGAAUGCGACGAUGUCGACGCUGUUGCCCGGACAAAUCCUAGGAUUUCUCCCGGUACACGGAGGAUGGUAGGGUGAGAGGGUCACCCGACACCCUUCAAGAAGGAUGGUGGCGCCCGCAGGCGUCACCGCGUUGGUGUCGGCAAGAUCCGACAGGAAUUUCUCCCGACCCCUCGCACCCGCCACACAGGACCAACCUACGGCUCCACCACACCCGCCGCUCACCAACAUGCACCAACACAGUCACGAGGAAGCCGUCGUCGUCUCACCACGGCCAACGAAGCGAGGCCGGUCGGAUCCAAACGAGACACCCAAAAACAAGGACCGACAGCACCGCAGCCACGAGGGAGGGAACAACCUCCACCGGCUUAGGCGGUAGCAGACCGGGCAUAGCAGCAGAUGCACACCAGACCAAAUGUCCAGCUGAGCCCAGAACGGGCCCGUGAAGCUCCGCCGCCACGCUGCAGCAGUCGCGACACAGCAGCCGUUGUCCCUGUCGCGAGGAGCUCACCAGAGCCACCGGAGGACAACCCACCACGGCCCCAGCAGGCCCGCCCCAACCCAGUUCGGCCCCUUAGGGCCUAGAUAUGGGCCAGCCGAGCGCCGCCGGCCGCCGCAUGCCAGGCCCAUCACCGCCGCCAAGGGGCAGCGCCUCCGUACCGCCAUCGUCCAGAUCCUCGCUGGAGCGCCGCCGGCCGAGGGGCUCCGCCGCCAGGACCGCCUGCCCGAGCCGGGAUCCAGCGACGGGGGAGGAAGGGGGCCGCCACCGCCGGGCUGCGGGGCGCCGUGCGGGCAACGCCCGGCCGCGCCCGCCGGCGGCAGCGGCGAGGGGGAGGGGCGGCGGCGGCUCGCUGGAAGGGGAAGGAGAGGGGAGCCGCCCUGGUCGCCUCGUUCGGGGAGGGCGACGCGGGGGCCUCGGGGGGAAUCAGAAUUUGAUGGCACCACAAAGAGCCCUCAAGAAAUAGCUAGUUAACUUUGAAGCAAUAACUUUUUGUUGGUUGUGUGACUGGAGUUAUGGAGCUGGAAAUGUUUUCUAUGCCCACAUUAUGUGGUCGUUGUGGAAACUAAGAAAUGAUUUAUGUUUUUUAAACAAAUGGCCGUGGUCUUGAUUACAGAGUACUCCUUGAUUACAAGUACUCUGGGAGAGAGUUGGAAUACACCUCUCGCUGCAAAACCCUAUGCUGAAAUCGUACUCGUGCUCGGCAAAACCAAUUGCUAGAAGAUGUGGAAAAGGUGAUGAUUAGUCCGGCACUACUGGUUUGCCAGCGCCCCUAUACAUCCGAUUCACAAGAAGGUCGGACCAUCUUAUAGUAUCUGCGAACGAAGAUAGUGCUGGAAAAUUGCAAUAGUAUCGGCAAACAAUAUGUGCCUCAGUGCUUGCCAUACAAAUUUCAAACAUAACAAAUCUUUUAUACAGUUUUUCUUUUUUUGAAUUGGAGGGUACUGUACCAUUUAGUUCUCCGUAUAUACUACUCCGUAUGACAGAGGAGAUGGGAAAAGAUCAGCAAGGAAUUAUCCAGUGGCAGUACCUAGGAGCAGGCUAGGUGAGCGUGAUGAAGUUCUUGAGAGAGGCGACGAGGCUGGGCGGCCAGUGCUUGGUGUCCCUGACGUAGGCGAGAUCCGAGUAGUGCGGGUCGAGCAGCGUGGCGAUGUUGAACUGGAACUCGGCCAGCAGGGGCGCGUGCUUGUCGGCGUAGAGCGCCGCCGCCAGCGCCGCGUGGAUCUCCGGGUACCCCUUGAGCGCCACCGACACGUCCUCCAUCUCCGUGAUGGACUCGUCGCGGUCGCCGAUCUCGUACAGCACCACCGCCCGCCCCACCCGCGCGUACUCCGACAGCGCCAGGUCCUUGUACCCGCUCACCACCGCCGUGAAGGACGCCAGCGCCCCCGCGAACUCGCCGCGCGCCUGCAGCUCCCGCCCGGCGUCGAGCAGCCGGACCGCCUCCCCGACGCGCUGCGACACGGCCUCGCUCGCCGCGCGCUCCGCCUCCGUCACCGGGUCGUAGUCGAGGCCGGCCGCGGACGCCGCUC